AAAAAUAAAAUAAAAUUAAAGGAAAUUAUAAGGACUUGUAUUUUAGGUAUAAGGAUAUAUAUAUACAUAUAGAGGGACUGGACACCAAAAGUGGUGCGAAAGCCACUGCCAGGAAAGAGGAGAAGAAAAACAGAGAGAACAAGAGAAAUGGAGAUGCAGUGGAGGGCCAUGGGUUCUCCAUGACGGAAAGCCUGCAUUUUGAGCCACCAAACCUGCUCCGAUCUGUAUCAAAUUUUGCGAGGAAGUUCAAUUCGUCGAGGUGAACAUCGCUACCGAGGGAGGAGACAGUGGAGUUGAAGCUGAGCUACCAUCUCCAUGGGGAUAUGGGAGAGAUUGUGUGUUCAAGUCUCAUCUAAUGAAAUUUUUUUUAUCCAUGUAAAAAAAGGUAAUAGAAUCCUUGUUCCUUUUCCUUCUGGUAAUUAUAUCUACAUAAGAAAAUUCAGAUCAUCUGAUGGCUUGCUUUUUGCAAAUGAAACUGUAGUAGUUGGUCCCUUCCAAAUGUCUUCAAGUCACAUGAAAUGCUUCAACCCCAUCUCCAUUCAACAAAGCUACCUAUGCUUCCAGGUACUGUUAUUUCCACAUUAAAAAUUAAGUGGGUGGCCCACUAACCUAGUAUUUAGCCAAUUAAAAGAAUACCCAAUAUCUUUAAAUUGUUAUAAAGAUAUUUACCCUUGAUGGAGUGGGUAAAUUGUAAUAAUUAUAAUAUUAUUAUUUGAAAUAAAAAACAGUUAUUCGAAUAACACGUUCAGAACGGUUUUUGAACGUGUAUUCUUGGCCCUCUUCUCCUAUCAAUAAGAUAUAUAUACAGAAACCCAUUCAUGUGCUGUGAGUACUCUCUUCCAUCAAUUACAGAAAACAAUUCUGUGUAUUAAGGUUUGAUAAGGAGAAGAAGAGAUCAAGGAUUUAAGAUCUAUAAACUGAAGGAAAAUCUCUCAUGGCAGCGUGUUCUUCAAACGGUAUGUAAUCUAUUUAUUAAUUAAUGUUUUUUUAUUAUUUUAUUAUCAGAGAUGAGUUUGAAUUCAAUGAUCUAGAUUAUUGUGUGUUAAUUUCCGUAUUAAAUCUCAACAAGUGGUAUCAAAGCAAGGUUGAAUUUAAAUAUUAAGAAUCAUUGUUUUAUAAAGAUUAAAUUUUUGAGAUUUAUCUUCAAUUAAUUCGUCUCACUAAAAUGAAUAAAAUAAAAUAAAAUAAUAAUAAUUAAACAAACGACCAGCCUCAACACGUAGAAGGAAGAUUUUUUAUUUUUCCUUGCAACGUUGACUAGAUCAAUGCGGGUGUGGGGCUCUGGUUUGGCGGACUAGUUUGGCAUCAGUCCGGUGGCCGUUUUCAGGUGCCAUUGCUGGCCGUUUUCAGGCGCCAUUGCUGGCCAUUUUCAGGCACCAUGGCUGGCCGUUUUUAGGCGCCAUUGCUGGCCAUUAAAGGCGCCAUCUCGCUAGUUUCAGGCUCUAGUCCAAACUCCAUUGUCGGCGCCAUUAAAAGACACCGUUUCUCCAACUUUCAGGCGGCAGUCAAGGCGCCAUUUCCGGCGCCAUCGCACUAUUUUCAGGCACCAGUCCAGGCGCCAUUGAAGGCGCCAUUUUGCCGGUUUCAGGCUCCAGUCAAGGCGCCAUUGUCGGUGCCAUUGAAGGCGCCGUUUUCAGGCGCCAUCUGCUGGUUACAGGCGCCAUUGAAGGCGCCGUUUUCAGGCUCCAUCUGCUGGUUGCAGGCACCAUUGCCGGCGCCAUUGAAGGCGCUGUUUUCAGGCGCCAUCUCCUGGUUGCAGGCGCCGUUUCUCAGGCGCCAUUAGAGGCGCUGGUUGCAGGCGCCAUUAGAGGCGCUAUUUGCAGGCGCUGUUUUCUUACCGUUUGCAGUGCCGUUUUAGGUGCGCUUCAGGCAUCCUUUUCGGGCUCUCCAAAAGUGCCAUUUCAGGCACUAAUCCAAAGAUCUUGAUUGAUUUUAUUAUUUUAUUUGAACCUUUGUGAAAUUAUUAUUAUAUAUGAUGAAUGCAGAUUUCUUUGAUUUUAUGAUGAUUGAUUAUUGAAUCAGAUGAUUAUUAAAGAUACUAUCUCCUUGAUUUUUAACUCAAAUAAAAGAAUUAAUUUCAUCUUGUGAAUAUUUUAUCUAAAGACAAUUUAUAAAUGUAAGGUUAACUAAUUUGGAUAGUUGCCAAAGUAACCUAAAUUAGUGAGCCUUGUAUUUAUUGAAUUGCAUAAAAGAAUAAAGGGAGACUUGUAAAAUUCUUAAUAAUUCUCUUUAUAAUUAGGAGAAUGAGACUAACCCAAAGGAGAGUCAAUUUCUGCUAAUUAUUAAUUAAUGUUUUUAUUUUGUGUUGCUUAGAAAGGUAAAAUGGAUACCCAAAGGUAACAUAUAAAUGACACAAAAUAGUAAAGUGUUUUAAGCUCCCUCCAAGUGAACACUGGAUAUGUUAAAAUUUACCUAAAGGAGAAUUUUAAUGAUAUCAAUAGUUCAUUGCUUUUUAUUUUAUACUUGAGGCCUUAUUGUGAUCAUUGUUCUAUUUUGUACAGUUCCCACUUCAUUACACUCUCUUGCAUCUGGAAUGACUGUUUUUGAUGGGUCGAACUUUUCUGAAUGGUAUGAAAGGGUUCAAUUCUCACUGGGUGUAUUGGAUCUUGACUUGGCUUUAAUAACUGAUAAACCUCCUGAAGCUACGGAUGACAGUACUCCGGAGCAGGUGGAACAAUCAAAAUCCUGGGCAAAAUCAAACAGACUCAGUCUGAUGUUUAUGAGAAUGACUAUUGCCAAUAAUAUCAAGACCUCUCUCUCUCAAACCAAGUUUGCCUCAGAAUUUCUGAAAUCUGUUGAGGAGCGCUUCAAACGCGCUGAUAAGUCCCUUGCAGGCACAUUGAUGGCUGAAUUGACCACCAUGAAAUAUGAUGGUCAGAAAGGUAUUCAGCAACAUAUUUUAAACAUGACUGGAAAGGCUGCAAAGCUUAAGGCACUAGGCAUGGGUAUGGAUGAGUCCUUCUUGGUACAGUUUGUCCUUAACUCACUUCCAUCAUAGUUUGCUCCAUUCAAAAUCCACUAUAAUACUAACAGUGAUCAGUGGAACUUGAAUGAGCUCACCAGUAAAUGUAUACAAGAGGAAGUGAGAUUAAGACAAGAAGGACAUAAUCUUGCUCUUGCUGUAACUCAUGAAGUCACGAAGAAGAAAGGAAAAUUCAAAAAGGGAAAGAACUUUCCACCUAAGAAAAGCGGACCUGGGGAAGGUAGCCAGAGUCAUGAUGGAAAAUUCACGGUAAGUUGCUAUUUUUGUGGCAAGAAAGGGCAUGUGAAGAAGGACUGUAUCAAGCGCAAGGCUUGGUUCGAAAAGAAAGGUAUAAAUCUUUCUUUUGUAUGUUAUGAAUCUAAUCUUGCUGAAGUUCCUUCAAAUACUUGGUGGAUUGAUUCUGGAGCCAUAACUCAUGUGACUAAUUUAAUGCAGGGAUUCCUUACAACCAGGAAACCAAAGGAAAGUGAAAAGUUCCUCUAUAUGGGAAACUGUUUCAAGGUUGAAGUGGUAGCUGUUGGUACCUAUCGCUUACUAUUAGAGACGGGUCAUCGGAUGGAUCUUUUAAACACUUUUUAUGUACCUUCUAUCUCUAGGAAUUUAGUUUCCUUGUCCAAAUUAGAUGCUACUGGAUAUUCUGUUUUAUUCAGUUUUGGACAAUUAAGUUUGAUGUUAAAUUCUGUUACAGUUGGUUCUGGUAUUUUAUGUGAUGGUUUAUAUAAAAUUUCCUUGAAUCAUCAAUUUGCACAAGCUUUGAUAACCCUGCAUUCAAAUGUUGGUUCAAAACGUGGCUUAAUUAAUGAAAAUUCUUCAAUCUUGUGGCACAGAAGACUAGGGCACAUCUCUAGGGAAAGAAUUGAAAGAUUAGUGAAGGAAGGAAUUUUACAAAAUCUUGACUUCACUGAUUUUCAUGUAUGCGUGGAUUGCAUAAAGGGAAAGCAAACUAAACAUACAAAGAAAGGUGCCACAAGAAGUAAUGAGCUCCUUGAGAUAAUUCAUACAGAUAUUUGUGGACCACUCUCUGUUCCAUGUUUCACAGGAGAGAAAUAUUUUAUCACCUUUAUAGAUGAUCUAUCUCGUUAUGGUUAUGUUUAUCUAAUGCAUGAAAAGUCUCAGGCCAUUGACAUCUUCGAGAUGUUCAUAACAGAGGUCGAGAGACAAUUAGAUAAAAAGAUUAAAAUUGUGAGAUCAGAUCGAGGCGGUGAAUAUUAUGGCAGAUAUGAUGAAUCAGGACAAAAUCCUGGUCCUUUUGCCAAAUUCCUUGAAAAGCAUGGCAUUCGUGCUCAGUACACAAUGCCUGGUACGCCACAGCAGAAUGAUGUUGCUGAAAGGCGUAAUCGCACAUUAAUGGAAAUGGUUAGGAGUAUGAUGAGUUACUCUUCUGUACCUAUUUCAUUGUGGGGUGAAGCCUUAAAAACCGCAAUGUAUAUCUUGAACAGAGUUCCUAGUAAGGCAGUUCCAAAAACUUCUUUCGAGUUAUGGACUGGUAGGAAACCUAGCUUGAGACAUAUACAUAUAUGGGGUUGUUCAGCGGAGGCAAGAAUCUAUAACCCACAUGAGAAAAAGCUUGAUUCAAGAACGAUAUCUGGAUAUUUCAUUGGCUAUCCGGAUAAAUCGAAAGGGUACAGAUUUUAUUGUCCUAACCACAGUGUGAGAAUAGUUGAAACCGGUAAUGCCAGAUUCUUAGAGAAUGGCGAAAUCAAUGGGUGUAAUGAACCAAGAAAGGUAGAUAUUGAGGAGAUAAGAGUGGAUAUCCCACCACCUUUUUUACCUCAAGAAAUUAUUGUCCCUCAACCUGUUCAACAAGUUGAGGAUAAUGAGCAACAUAAUAGAGAUGGUUCAUUACCACUAGAAAAUAUUGCCAUUGAAAAUGCUGUAGAGCCACCACAACCGGCACCUUUGAGGAGAUCUCAAAGAGAAAGGAGACCUGCCAUUACAGAUGAUUAUGUGGUGUAUCUACAGGAAUCUGAUUUUGAUUUGGGAUAAGGAAGGAUCUGGUUUCGUUUUCACAAGCCAUGGAAAGUGAUGAUUCUAGUAAAUGGAUGGAAGCUAUGAAUGAAGAGUUGAAAUCUAUGGCCCAUAACGGUGUCUGGGAUCUCAUCGAAUUGCCUAAUAAUUGUAAACCCGUCGACUGUAAAUGGGUCUUUAAGACAAAGCGUGACGCUAAAGGCAAUAUCGAACGAUUUAAGGCCAGACUUGUGGCCAAAGGUUUCACUCAAAAGGAAGGUAUCGAUUACAAAGAUACCUUCUCUCCAGUUUCCAAGAAAGAUUCGCUUAGAAUCAUCAUGGCACUUGUAGCUCAUUUUGAUUUAGAGUUACAUCAAAUGGAUGUGAAAACUGCAUUCUUAAAUGGGAAUUUGGAUGAAGAUAUCUAUAUGGAACAACCUGAAGGGUUCGCAAAGAAAGGAAAUGAACACCUAGUUUGCAAAUUAAAGAAAUCCAUUUACGGUCUUAAACAAGCUUCCAGACAAUGGUAUAUUAAGUUCAAUAAUACCAUUACAUAUUUCGGAUUUAAAGAGAACAUUGUUGAUCAAUGUAUAUAUCUGAAAGUUAGUGGGAGCAAGUUUAUAUUUCUGAUACUGUAUGUGGAUGAUAUUUUGCUUGCUAGCAGUGAUCUUGGUUUAUAAUGUGAAACCAAGGAAUAUCUCUCUAAAAACUUUCAUAUGGUUGCUAUGGGUGAGGCAAACUAUGUUAUUGGCAUUGAGAUCUUUAGGGAUCGAUCUCGAGGAGUGCUAGGUUUAUCUCAGAAAGGAUAUAUCGAUCGGGUUUUAGAGAGAUUUAAUAUGCAGUCAUGUUCAUCGGGUAUUGCACCUAUAUUGAAAGGUGACAAAUUAAGUAAAAUUCAGUGCCCAAGGAAUAACAUGGAAAAGGAGCAAAUGAAGAAAAUUCCUUAUGCAUCAGCUGUGGGGAGUUUGAUGUACGCUCAAACAUGUACAAGACCAGAUAUCAGCUUUGUUGUAGGCAUGUUAGGAAGAUACCAAAGUGAUCCAGGAUUCGAACACUGGAAAGCUGCAAAGAAGGUGAUGAGGUACUUACAAGGGACAAAAGAUUAUAUGCUCACAUAUAAAAGAUUAGAACAAUUAGAGGUUGUCAGUUACUCGGAUUCUGAUUAUGGUGGUUGUCUCGAUAGCUUAAAGUCAACUUCAGGAUUUGUCUUUAUGCUAGCAAAUGGGGCAAUUUCGUGGAAGAGUGAAAAACAAUCAAUUACUGCUUCAUCCACGAUGGAGGCCGAGUUUGUUGCUUGUUUUGAAGCUUCAAGUCAUGCUUUAUGGUUGCGGAAUUUUAUCUCAGGGCUUGGUGUUGUCGACUCUAUUGCUAAACCUUUGAGAAUAUACUGUGAUAACACCGCGGCUAUUUUCUUCUCUAAGAAUGGAAAAUUUUCUAGUGGAUCGAAACACAUAGAUUUAAAGUAUUUAGUUGUUAAAGAAAGAGUCCAGAAACAACAAGUGUCAAUUGAAAAUAUUAGGACCACACUUAUGGUUGUUGAUCCAUUAACAAAGGAUUACCUCCAAAGGCAUAUUUGGAACAUGUUAUGAGGAUGGGCCUUUUGAGUAAUCCAUAAUAUGUAUGAUAAUGAAUGGUGGUUAUGUAAUUGACAAUUUGCGCAUUAAAAUUGUUUCUGUUUAUUCUUGUUUUCAAUUAUGGGUGCACGUUUUAUUGUUUGAUAAACAAGAAUUGUCCUGACAAGACAAAUUAUAGGGGCUAUUUGGCAUUAAGGACUGGGUUAGUAAGGGUUAUUAAUGUGUGGUGCAUGGAAGGAAACAUGACAUUAUGGUCAUGUGACCGCCAUGACUCGCAUUUAUGAUCUAAACUGAUUCAGUAUUAUGGUAUAUGAUUUUGGAUGUAUCAGCUAAGUUUAUUGAAAUCGUGAUCACGUGUCAAAUUUAUUUUCCAGUAUAUAUUUUAUAUAUAAACUAAAUAUAUUAUAGUUUUCAUAAUCGGUUUAGUGGGCCAAGUGGGAGAAUGUUAUUUCCACAUUAAAAAUUAAGUGGAUGGCCCACUAACCUAGUAUUUAGCCAAUUAAAAGAAUACCCAAUAUCUUUAAACUAUUAUAAAGAUAUUUACCCUUGAUGGAGUGGGUAAAUUAUAAUAAUUAUAAUAUUAUUAUUUGAAAUAAAAAACAGUUAUUCGAAUAACACGUUCAGAACGGUUUUUGAACGUGUAUUCUUGGCCCUCUUCUCCUAUCAAUAAGAUAUAUAUACAGAAACCCCUUCAUGUGCGGUGAGUACUCUCUUCCAUCAAUUACAGAAAACAAUUCUGUGUAUUAAGGUUUGAUAAGGAAAAGAAGAGAUCAAGGAUUUAAGAUCUAUAAACUGAAGGGAAAUCUCUCAUGGCAGCGUGUUCUUCAAACGGUAUGUAAUCUAUUUAUUAAUUAAUGUUUUUUUAUUAUUUUAUUAUCAGAGAUGAGUUUGAACUCAAUGAUCUGGAUUAUUGUGUGUUAAUUUCCGUAUUAAAUCUCAACAGGUACCUCAUCCCCAAGAACAUACCAUAAUUUCUCUGUUGGGAUAUUGUCUGCAAUAUUCUUUGAUUUAUUCCACCUUCCACUCGAGGGUCAAACCCAAGUAUUGGUUACCCAUUUCAUAAAGCUAACCAAUUUGACAUAAUUUUCUUUUAACAUCAAAUUAGUCAGUGAAAACAUGGAGGACAUGAUCAUUUUAGAUCUCAACAAAAUUUAAUUGCAAAUAAGUGCAUGCAUAUAAUAUUAUUUUUAUAAAAAACUUUAUAAUUAGAUAUUUUCUUAUAAGAAUAUACCCUAGUGGAAAAAUAUUAUAAACCAAUAAACCAAUAAAUCAAUAAUUUUACUAUCCAAUAUUAAUUAGGAUAUUAAGCAUGUAAUUAAUGAUCAAAAUUAAUAUGCAAUCUUAUUGUCAUUGCAUGCAUAAAUAAAAUCUUCCAAGUAUGAAUGUUAAUGAGAUGUUAGCCUCCCUCACUAUCACUCAACAGAAUAUAAAAGUUUUCAUUAUUUUUUAUUUUAAAAAUAAAAAACAAAAAAGAUAUAUUCCAGCACUUUGUAUUAGUUAAUAAAUUAAAGAAAUCUUCCAACCCUCUUAAGACUAAGGAACCAUAUUAAUUCGUAAACCAAUUUAAUCAUUUAAUAUAAUUUAAUGAUUUAAUUCAAGCCAUUGAGUACGUUAAAUAUAAAUAUAUUUGAUAAAAUAAAUUAAUAAUAUUAUUUAAAGCCAAAAUUAACUUAACCUAAUAAGUAAAAAGGAUUUUUUUUUCAAUAAAAAUAAACUACUCUUGAGCCAUCAUUGCCUAAAAAACUCAAUUGAUUAUCAACUUUCUAUAAUAAUAAUAUAUUAUAUAUAUAUAUAUAUAUAUAUAUAUAUAUAUAUAUAUAUCAAUUACUUGAUAUUAAUAAAACCAAUAAAUAUGUUUGGAUUAAAUAAUUUUAAAACAACUUUCAAAUUUAGUUUUAGCAAAAAAGUUGAUAUUUAAAAUAACAAGAAAUUAAUAACAAAAUUCUCUCAAAUCAGUCAAGAACCUCUCUGGCUUCAAUUCCAGUGGAUCUUCCCACACUUCAGGGUUCCAUGCGAUCUCUGCUACCAUGAAAAAAAUGUUAGCGUUUUGGGGGAUUGUAUAGCCACCCAGAUUUACAUCUUGGUUCACUGCAUGAGGCAAGCCGAAGUGUCCAGGAGGAUGACGCCUCAAACCUUCCAAGAUCACAGCCUUCAAGUAUGGCAUCUUCUGCAAAUCUUCCUGCUUCACGUCGUCCUCUCUUGUCCCCAUAUCCCCACUAAUCUCUUCAAAGACCUUGGCCUGAAUAUGCGGGUACUUCACCAGGUUUGCCAUGAUCCACUGCAGCAAUGUGUAAGUAGUAUGUGUUCCUGCGUUGAGAAACUCGGAGCACAAACUAACCAGUUCGCUGUCAUUGAGCUUCCUCUUCUCGUCAGGCAGUUGCAGAUCCAGCGAAGUAUCAACGUAGACUGUUAUACGACUGCUGUCUUCUUUGUCGGAAUCUUCUUGUUUGCUUUGUAAUUCCUUCUUCAAGCGAUCUCUGGCCCUUAUAAGAGGGAUCAACACAUCUUCUUGAUGCUUGCGAAGCUGCAGGAACUUCUCCCAACGCUUCCGAAACAAGAUCUUUCCUAUGGUAGGCCAGAAAUUGAGCAUAUUGAAGGUGCCAAAACCAGCCAAAACUCGCAGCUGAGCAGCUUGGAUUUCUCUCACUUUCUCCUCCUCAAGCUGAUUCCCGAAGCACAUCAGAACCAGCAAGCAAAACAUGGCGAAGUGGAAGUCAUCCACCACGCGUACCACACCAUCUGCGGUUUUAGAGCUCCUGCGAAGCUGAGAGAAGAGAAUCUCCAGCACCCACUUGUGGGCUCGGGAGUACGCUUUUAGGCGCAAGGGGUUGAAGAUUUUUGUAGUGAGGUUGCGGCGGAGGAGGCACCAGGUGGGACCGUAACCGGCGGAGCUGACGUUGUGCUGGUUGCUUCCAAUGACUUUGUUGGUAACCAGAGGAACGGGGCGGUGGACGAAAACUGCAGCAUUUUGAACUAAUGCUUCGUGAGCCAGGGAGGCACUCGCAACGAAGAUUGCUGGGCUGUUGCCAAGUGGGGGGGAGACGAUUGGACCAUGCUUAGCGUGAAGGUUUCUGAGGAUUGGCUCAAGUUCUGUGUAAGAUUUCCGAAGCCAUAAGUAGCUGCUUAUGAUUGGAAAGGCAAAGGGUCCAGGAGGGAGCUUCUUCUUGGGCUUGGAGAAGAGCAUCUUCAAAUUGAUAAAUGAUAGUUUUUUCAUUAAUUUUAAUUCAUUCGCUCAUGUACAUAGUAUAUAUAGAGGGUAAUCACCAUUCUAAGAAUGGGAAAGAAUGAUACAAGGAAAGAAUGAUAUAAGGAAAUAACAACUAAUAUCCUAAUAUCUCAACUUUCCUAAUAUCUCAAUAUUCCUAAUAUCUCAAUAUUCAUAAUAUCUCAAUAUUCCUAAUAUCUCAACUUUCCUAAUAUCUAAACAUUCCUAAUAUCUCAACACUAAAUGAUAUAAGGAAAGAAUGAUAUAAGGAAAACAUUCCUAAUAUCUCAACACUCCCCCUCAAGUUGGUGCAUAGAUGUAACACAUGCCCAACUUGUCUAAAAAUUUUGAGAACACUUGACUUGAGACAGCUUUGGUGAGGAUAUCGACCAAUUGAUUUUCUGAUCGAAUCUUAGGCAAUUCCACAAUCCUAUCAUCCAACUUUUCCUUAAUGAAGAAUCUAUCCACCUCGACAUGCUUUGUACGAUCAUGUUGUACUGGAUUAUGAGCAAUGUCACAUGCGGCUUUAUUGUCACAAAACAAUCGGAUUGGUUGCCUAGAUAGGUAACCUAAAUCCUGUAAGAGGAGUCUUAGCCAUAAUGCCUCACAAAGUCCUAGAGCCAUACCUCUAAAUUCCGCUUCUGCACUUGAACGGGCGACGACAUUCUGCUUCUUACUUUUCCAUGUCACAAGAUUACCACCUACAAAGGUAAAGUAACCAGAUGUAGAUCGCCUAUCAUCCACUACACCGGCUCAAUCGACAUCAGUAUAUACUUCUAUACUCUGAUGAUCAACAUUUUUAGCNNNNNNNNNNNNNNNNNNNNNNNNNNNNNNNNNNNNNNNNNNNNNNNNNNNNNNNNNNNNNNNNNNNNNNNNNNNNNNNNNNNNNNNNNNNNNNNNNNNNCUUAUCGGUUGAUACUUGAUUAGGCUCAACACACAAUUUCAGACAUUUUUCUAUUGGUGUAUUAACAGGUUGACUGAUUACUACCCAAAAAGUGCUAUUUUACACCUUUAAUUCAUUAUGUUUUAAGCACUUUUGUGUAGUAGUUCUCCAUCUUUAUCCCAAUUGGCAUGUUAAGGACCUAGCAAUGACUUCUAAUCAUAUUUGUGGCUAGUUUUAGUGUUUUGACAGCUUUUUGGAUCAUUAAAACAAGCCAAGUAAAGGAGAGAAGCAAAAAGGAAAAACAAGCAAAGUGAAGAAAAUAGAGGACAACAGCUGCAAUCUUCCUUCGCACUUUUGGAGCACUUUCCGAAGUCCAUUUUCUACAUUCUAUAUACCAUUUCAAAUCUCAGGAAGCCAAAAAUCCAACGCUUCAAACCGUGUACAAUUUGGAGCUGAAAUGAGGAAGAUAUGGCCUUCGGAAGACAACUGCUCCAGGCUUGUGCGAAAUUCGCACAACACCUUCAGCUUGUGCGAAGCUUGUGCGAAACUCGCACAACACUCGCACAACACCUUCAGCUUGUGCGAAGCUUGUGUGAAACUUGCACAACACUCGCACAACACCUUCAAAAUUCGCACAGCCCAUGCAUGGUGCGAAUUUUCCUCUGUUCCGCCGACUCCACUUUAGAUCUUUUCUUUUAGAUAUUUUUGUAUAAAUUUCCAUUCUUCUCCUUGUAAUCCACCAAUCAUAAGAUUUCUUAGCUAGGAAGGUUGGAAAAACUUCUCUAUAUAUAUUCCCGUGCAUCCAUUGUAAAAUAUACAGAGACAGAUGGAGAUGUAAAAUAUAUAAAUAUAUAGACUAUACAGAGCCUUGUUCUGUUUUUCUCUCUUCUCCUGUUCUUCCCCAUUUCUAUUUUCUUAGUAGCCAAAUAGCCUCUGAGGGCUUUUCCUCAGAGGAUGAUGAUUACUACUCAAAAAGUACUAUUUGAUAGCUUAUAAUUAAUCAUUUUAAACACUUUUGAGUAGUAGUUUUGGCCUUUUAACUCAAUUGGCAUGUUAAGGAUCCUUUAAAGCAAUUUUAAUCACUUUGUGUAAGUUUUGGUGUUUUUGUUAGUAAUUUGAUCACCAAAGCAAGUCAAGACUGAGGAGAGUUAUGAGGAAUCUUGGGCAAAGCUUGGAAGUCAUUUGCCAAGAGUAAAUCCGGAUUGCAAGGAGAAAAAGCAAAGAGAAUCUGCCAUAAAGCAUAUUCUUGAUGACAGUCGUAGGAGCCACUUUUGGAGUACUUUCUGAAGUCCAAAUGAUGUAUUCUAUAUACCAUUUCAAAGCUCAGGAAGUCAACAAUCCAAUUCUUUAAACGGUGUGCAAUUCGGAGUUGAAACGAAGAAGUUACAGCCAUUGCAAGCCAAUCACUCCGAGCUGAAGGAAGCAUUUUGCAAAGUGCUGCGAAAUCACCCUUUUAUUGCGAAGUGAUUCCGCAGCCUUUUUGUACAGUAGGGUGUAUUUCCUUCUGAAGUUGCCCGACAUAUACCGCGAGAGGGAAGCUGGGAACCUCAAGGUGGAAGCCAACUUCGCAGCCCUGCGAAGAUAGCAUGUUGUUGCGAAAUGAUUUCGCAGCCCUCUUGAGUGUCUGCGAAAUCUCACAGACACCAUUUUCUCUUGCGAAAUGGUUCCUGAAGCCUCCCGAUAUUUGCUACCGACGUUGGGAGAUAUUUUACAUCAGAUUUUUGUUGUCUAAAUCCCAAAAUACUCCUUGUAAGCCACCAAUUACAAGAUUCCUUAGCUUUUAAGUUAGUAAAAAGACUAAAUAUCUAUGUAAUAAUUAGUUUUAUAUUAUGUACAUAUAUAUACCUCUCGAGAGCCUGUUCUCAGAGAGGAGUUCCUUCUGUAAAAAGUUUGGGUAAGCAAGUAAAGUUUAUUUCUUUCUACUGCCUUACCUUCUCACUUUGUAUUUUUAGUUAAUACUAAGUUAUGAACUCUCUGAGGAGUUUUCCCCAGAGAAUGAGUAACUAAACCUCUAAUUCCUUGGAGCUAAGGUUGCCGGGGGAGGUUCCAAGUGCAAGAAUGCAAAGCUUUGUGGUUUUAGCUAUUAAUGAAGAGGAAGUGAAAUCCUUUAGUGAUUUCUAUGUUUUUAGUUAACUUAAAACACCUUGGAAUCACCUGGGCCAACACUUGGUAAGGCAAGUGAUUUCCAACCAUGGAAAUGCACUAGUUUACCCCUUGCGAGCCUCUGGUAGGUGAUUUCAGGGUAAGAUUUUCUAGAAUAGCCAACACUUGAUAAGCUUUUGGACUCCAAGGAGACAUCCAUUAGUUAUCUCUUGCGAGCUUUUGACGGGUAAUCCAAGGUUAAAGAUCACCUUGAAUGGUUACGGCUUAGUGAGAGGCUUAAACCAUUGCAAGUUGCAUCAGUGAGAGAAUUAAAGUGAAAUCUAAUUGAAGGAUGAAUCUGUACAACACCAGCUAGAGAAUUGACUAUAUGUUGAAUCUCUAACGCGAGGAAAGGAACCAUCUGAUCGGAGCUAUGUCUUUUGCAUGAGGAACCAUCCUAGUGAACCUAACUCUCCAAGGAAUGUUUUUCUUCCUAAGUUAUUCCAAACAUUUGUUAUGUUAGUUAGUUUAAAUCUAAACCUUUACCAAUCAAAGUUUGUGUUUUACUUCUUAAGCUAACCUUGAAAUGAAACAAGACCAAUUCACUUGGAAUUGGUAUCAUUGAGAGCUUGUUAAUUUUUCCCAGUGGAUGAUCCUAGAGCCACUAUACUAUAGUAGCUUUUUCUUUACUACCCUAGUAUAUGGUGUUAUAGGUUAUAAAUUUUGUUGAUUACUCCCUCAAUCAAGGAGAACCAGCUGGACACGAAUCAGUUGAGACACCAAUUGGGCACGAAUCAAAUGGCGUCGUUGCCGGGGAAUAUGUCAAGUUUAUAGUGAUACCAAUUUUUGAGCACUUGUGAUUUUCAUCACAAGUUGGUAACGUUUCUUUCACUUUACUAAUUCUCAUUUUUUCUUUAUUUAUUCUUAAUCCAAGUUUAUCUUUUAAAUUUAGCCUAGUUUAAUUUUGUUGUUGUAGCCCUGUUUUCCUUUUGUUGUCCUUUAUUUUCAUUUAAGUUGCAGAUAGAUACUAGUUGUGUAUGCCAAAGUGGAUACGAGACAGUGGAGGAAGGCUUGUUAAGUGUGAUACACCUCAGAGAAGAGAAUUCGAAUUGAGCUUGAAUAUCAUGGAAACUACACCUGAAGAUCAGCAUAGUCACCAAGGUCGUCAAGACAAUCUCAAUGAAUUCAGAUCAAUGAGGGAUCGUAUGCAUCCACCUCGUAUGAGUGCACCAUCAUGUAUAGUGCCCCCUACCGAGCAGCUAGUGAUCAGACCGUAUCUUGUUCCACUUCUACCAACUUUCCAUGGAAUGGAGAGUGAGAAUCCGUAUGCACACAUCAAGGAAUUUGAAGAUGUUUGUAAUACGUUUCAAGAGGGAGGAGCUUCAAUUGAUCUGAUGAGGCUUAAGUUAUUUCCUUUUACUUUAAAGGAUAAGGCCAAAAUUUGGCUUAAUUCUUUAAGGCCAAGGAGUAUCCGUUCUUGGACUGACUUACAAGCUAAAUUCCUCAAGAAAUUCUUUCCUACUCAUAGAACAAAUGGCUUGAAAAGGCAAAUUUCAAAUUUCUCAGCUAAAGAGAAUGAGAAAUUCUAUGAGUGUUGGGAAAGAUACAUGGAAGCUAUAAAUGCUUGCCCUCACCAUGGCUUUGAUACAUGGCUAUUGGUGAGUUAUUUCUAUGAUGGUAUGUCCUCUUCAAUGAAGCAACUCCUCAAGACAAUGUGUGGAGGAGAUUUCAUGAGCAAAAAUCUAGAGGAAGCUAUGGAUUUCUUGAGCUAUGUAGCUGAUGUUUCAAGGGGAUGGGAUGAACCAACCAAAGGAGAAGUGGGGAAGAUGAAGUCUCAACUGAAUGCUUUCAAUGCAAAGGCUGGGAUGUAUACCUUGAAAGAAGAUGAUGAUAUGAAAGCAAAGUUGGCAGCUAUGAUAAGAAGAUUGGAGGAGCUGGAGCUGAAAAGAAUACAUGAAGUGCAAGUUGUUGCUGAAGCACCAGUGCAAGUGAAGUUGUGUCCUAAUUGUCAACCAUUUGAACAUUUGGUGGAGGAAUGCCCUGCAAUUUCAGCUGAAAGGGAGAUGUAUAGAGAUCAAGCAAAUGUUGUUGGACAAUUCAGGCCCAAUAACAAUGCGCCUUAUGGAAAUACCUACAACUCAAGUUGGAGGAAUCAUCCAAAUUUCUCAUGGAAGGCCAGAGCAACUCAGUACCAACAGCCGGAUCCACCAUCUCAACAAUCUUCAAGUCUUGAACAAGCAAUGGCUAAUCUUAGCAAGGUAGUGAGAGAUUUUGUUGGAAAGCAAGAAGCAACCAACGCUCAAAUCUAUCAAAGAAUUGAUAGAGUAGAGAGUAUGUUGAAUAAAAGGAUGGAUGGAAUGCAAAAUGAUAUGAACCAAAAGUUUGAUAACAUUCAAUAUUCAAUUUCAAGGCUUACAAAUUUGAAUACACUGCAAGAAAAGGGAAGAUUUCCUUCUCAACCUCACCAAAAUCCCAAAGGUGUCCAUGAAGUGGAAAGCCAAGAGGGAGAAUCAUCAUAGAUGAAAGAUGUCAAAGCUUUGAUCACUCUAAGGAGUGGUAAAAAAAUUGAGCAGCCAACACCCAAGCCACAUGUUGAGAAAGAAGAAGAGAUAAAGAAAGGGAAGGAAAUGGAAGAUAAAGAGAGUAAGAUCAGUGAAGAAAAGAAGGAAUCUGAUUCAACAAUGAAUGCAAUUCCAGAGAAGGAACUUCUGAAGGAAGAAAGGCUGAAGAAAUCAACUUCUCCACCUUUUCCUCAAGCAUUACAUGGGAAAAAGAGGAUUAGAAAUGUAGCUGAAAUCCUUGAAGUAUUGAGGCAAGUGAAAGUUAAUAUUCCACUGCUGGAUAUGAUUAAACAAGUUCCAACGUAUGCAAAAUUCCUAAAGGAUUUAUGUACUAUCAAAAGAGGUUGACUGUAAACAAGAAAGCCUUCUUGACUGAGCAAGUAAGUGCAAUCUUACAAUGUAAGUCUCCUUUGAAGUACAAAGACCCGGGAAGUCCUACCAUUUCAGUCAUGAUUGGAGGAAAGGUAGUGGAGAAAGCCUUGUUAGAUUUGGGGGCAAGUGAGAAUUUGCUUCCAUAUUCCGUCUACAAGCAAUUGGGACUUGGGGAAUUGAAGCCAACAACAAUCACUCUAUCUCUAGCAGAUAGAUCAGUGAAAAUUCCAAGAGGGGUAAUUGAAGAUGUAUUGGUUCAAGUAGAUAAUUUCUACUAUCCAGUAGAUUUUAUUGUUCUUGAUACAGAUCCUAUUGUAAAGGAAGCUAAUUUAGUUCCUAUCAUCCUUGGAAGGCCAUUUCUUGCUACUUCAAAUGCAAUCAUCAACUGCAGGAAUGGGCUGAUGCAACUCACUUUUGGCAACAUGACACUGGAUCUCAAUAUUUUCUACAUGUCUAAAAAGCAACUCACUCCGGAAGAAGAAGAAGGACCAGAAGAGCUGUGCAUUAUUGAUACUUUGGUGGAGGAGCACUGUAAUCAAAAUAUGCAAGACAAGUUGAAUGAAAGUCUUGUGAAUUUUGAGGAAGGUUUGUCUGAAUCUCCUACUGUGCUUGCUACUUUACAAAGUUGGAGAAAGAUAGAAGAAAUUCUACCUUUGUUCAAUAAAGAAGAGGAGGCAGCUGCUGAAAAAGAAACUCCAAAACUCAAUCUGAAACCUUUACCUGUGGAGCUGAAAUAUAUAUAUCUUGAAGAAAAUAAUCAAUGUCCUGUUGUGAUAUCUUCAUCUCUGACCAAUCAUCAAGAGAAUUGUUUAAUGGAAGUUCUCAAGAGGUGUAAGAAGGCAAUAGGAUGGCAAAUAUCUGACUUGAAAGGCAUUAGUCCUUUAGUUUGUACUCAUCAUAUAUAUAUGGAGGAGGAAGCAAAGCCAAUUCGUCAAUUUCAAAGAAGGUUGAAUCCUCAUCUACAAGAGGUGGUGCGAGCUGAGGUGCUGAAGCUACUUCAAGCAGGAAUCAUCUACCCUAUAUCUGAUAGCCCUUGGGUGAGUCCUACUCAAGUGGUACCAAAGAAGUCAGGGAUCACAGUGGUUCAAAAUGAAAAAGGGGAAGAAAUUACUACACGCCUCACUUCAGGUUGGAGGGUGUGUAUUGAUUAUAGAAAGCUGAAUGCUGUCACCAGGAAAGAUCAUUUUCCAUUGCCAUUUAUUGAUCAAGUGCUGGAGAGAGUCUCUGGACAUCCAUUUUAUUGUUUCUUGGAUGGGUAUUUAGGGUAUUUUCAGAAUGAAAUUGAUUUGGCAGAUCAGGAAAAGACCACUUUUACAUGUCCAUUUGGAACAUAUGCUUACAGGAGAAUGCCUUUUGGUUUAUGCAAUGCACCUGCUACAUUUCAAAGAUGUAUGUUGAGUAUUUUCAGUGAUAUGGUGGAGCGAAUUAUGGAGGUUUUCAUGGAUGACAUCACCGUAUAUGGAGGUACAUUUGAGGAAUGUUUGGUUAAUUUGGAAGCAGUUCUUCACAGAUGCAUUGAAAAAGACCUGGUGCUUAAUUGGGAGAAAUGCCAUUUUAUGGUACAUCAAGGAAUUGUCCUUGGCCAUAUCAUCUCUGAAAAAGGCAUUGAAGUUGAUAAAGCAAAGGUGGAGCUUAUUGUCAAAUUACCAUCCCCAACAACUAUAAAAGGAGUAAGGCAGUUCCUUGACCAUGCAGGGUUCUAUAGGCGGUUUAUAAAAGGUUUUUCAAGUCUUUCAAAACCUCUUUAUGAGCUGUUAGCUAAGGAUGCUAAGUUUAUAUGGGAUGAAAGGUGUCAAAAUAGCUUUGAUCAACUGAAGAAAUUUUUAACAACAACUCCAAUAGUGAGAGCCCCUAACUGGCAAUUACCUUUUGAACUGAUGUGUGAUGCCAGUGACUUUGCUAUAGGAGCUGUGCUUGGCCAAAGAGAAGAUGGGAAGCCCUAUGUGAUUUACUAUGCAAGUAAAACACUAAAUGAAGCUCAAAGGAACUACACAACUACAGAAAAAGAAUUGUUAGCUGUGGUAUUUGCUUUGGACAAAUUUCGUGCUUAUUUAGUGGGGUCUUUCAUCAUUGUCUUCACUGACCAUUCAGCCUUGAAGUAUUUAUUGACAAAGCAAGAUGCAAAAGCAAGGUUGAUUAGAUGGAUUCUUUUGUUACAAGAAUUCAAUCUUCAAAUCAAAGAUAAGAAAGGAGUGGAGAAUGUGGUAGUUGACCACCUUUCAAGGUUAGUUAUAGCACAUAAUUCCCACCCCUUGCCUAUUAAUGAUGAUUUUCCUGAAGAAUCACUCAUGUUCUUAGUAAAAACUCCAUGGUAUGCUCAUAUUGCUAAUUAUUUAGUAACUGGAGAAAUUCCAAGUGAGUGGAAUGCACAGGAUAGGAAGCACUUCUUUGCCAAAAUUCAUGCUUAUUAUUGGGAAGAGCCCUUUCUUUUUAAGUAUUGUGCAGAUCAUAUAAUAAGGAAGUGUGUCCUUGAAGAUGAGCAGCAAGGGAUUCUAUCCCAUUGUCAUGAGAAAGCAUGUGGAGGCCACUUUGCCUCUCAGAAAACAGCCAUGAAGGUAUUGCAAUCAGGGUUUACUUGGCCAUCUCUUUUCAAAGAUGCCCACAUCAUGUGUAGGAGUUGUGAUAGAUGCCAAAGGCUUGGAAAGCUAACAAAAAGAAAUCAAAUGCCUAUGAACCCCAUUCUAAUAGUUGAGUUAUUUGAUGUAUGGGGCAUUGACUUCAUGGGACCUUUCCCAAUGUCUUUUGGUAAUUCUUACAUUUUGGUGGGAGUAGAUUAUGUUUCUAAGUGGGUUGAGGCAAUCCCCUGUAAACAAAAUGAUCACAGGGUGGUUCUCAAGUUUCUUAAAGAGAACAUAUUCUCAAGAUUUGGGGUGCCCAAAGCCAUAAUCAGUGAUGGAGGUGCUCAUUUUUGCAACAAACCCUUUGAAACUUUGUUAUCCAAGUAUGGAGUGAAGCAUAAGGUGGCUACACCUUAUCAUCCUCAGACUUCCGGGCAAGUUGAGCUAGCUAACAGGGAAAUAAAGAACAUAUUGAUGAAAGUGGUGAAUUCCAACAGAAAAGAUUGGUCUAUUAGGCUUCAUGAUUCAUUGUGGGCAUAUAGAACAGCUUAUAAGACUAUUCUUGGGAUGUCUCCCUAUCGUCUAGUCUAUGGUAAAGCAUGCCAUCUCCCUGUGGAAGUUGAAUACAAAGCUUGGUGGGCAAUAAAGAAGCUGAAUAUGGACUUGAUCAAGGCAGGAGAAAAGAGAUAUCUAGACCUUAAUGAGAUGGAGGAAUUAAGAAAUAAUGCUUAUAUCAAUUCCAAAGUUGCAAAACAAAGGAUGAAGAAGUGGCAUGAUCAACUCAUCUCCAACAAGGAAUUUCAGGAAGGGCAAAGAGCUUUACUAUAUGACACAAGACUCCAUAUCUUUCCUGGGAAGCUCAAGUCAAGGUGGAUAGGCCCGUUCAUAAUUCACCGAGUAUAUUCCAAUGGAGUGGUGGAAUUAUUGAAUUCAAAUGGCAAGGACACCUUCAAAGUCAAUGGAUAUCGUCUCAAGCCAUUCAUGGAGCCAUUCAAACCAGAAAAGGAGGAGAUUAACCUCCUUGAGCCUCAAAAAGCCUAAGCAAAUAAGGGUUUGCUGGACGUGGUUUACCACAGUCCAAAAUUUUUGUAAAUUUUGUAAAUUUUCAAGUUUUUUCCAUACAUUUGAUCUUAGUUUUUUAUCUUAAAUCAUGUUUUUAGAUGUGUUUUAAUCUUUUUGAAUGCUCUCAGGUGGAAGAAAUUUCAAGGAAAUUGAAAGAAAAAAAAAUCGGGGAGAAAUCGGAGCAAAAACAGAGGAAAAACAAAGCUCUGCGAAAUUUCGCAGGCUGAAGAAAGCCUCUGCCAAAUCAGCACUAUGCUGCAAAACCAUUUCGCAACACUUUGGAGUUCUCUGCGAGAAUUUUCGCAGCUGCGAAGGCGAUUUUGGCACACGAGUGCCACUUCGCAGCACAGGAGCCCUCGUUUGGCAGUUGCGAAACGCAUUGCGAAGUGGUAAAGCCCAAAUUUCGCAACAAAAAUCCCAUUCCGCAGGGUAUUUCGCAAUUGCGAAAACGAUUUUGGCACACGUGUGCCACUUCGCAGCACAGUAACAUUAAUUUCGCAGCUGCGAAACGCAUUGAGAAGUGGCUGCGAAAUUGGCAUUUUGCUGCGAAAUUGGCGUUUUGUUGCGAAACUCAAACUGACCCUUAGGCUUCCGUUUUUCCUAUUUAUACCGGUCAUUUGAGCUGCGAAAAGGGUUUCAAAAAUCAGAGCGCCAUUCUCGCAAGCUGUUCGUCUUCUUCAGUGGGCCACGCCGUCCAACCCUCCGGUCAUCUUCUCCGAUCAGCAACGUCGGCCAAAUUUCGGUAUCCCGAAAUGGCGCGAACACGAGGGGCUAAAUCUUCAUCUCCUGCGAAUCGCAAGAAGAGUCUGCGAAAGGAGCCAGUUCCAGAUUCUGCUCCAGAGCCUUCGCCGUCAAAAGCAAUUCCUCAUCUGGUGAAGCCAGCGCCGCCAAAGCCUUCGGCGAAACGUUACCUUACCAGGUCAGGGGGUCGGCCACUGCAAAAGAGACUCAGGGUGGAGAGCUUAGAACCCAUCGAUUUGACUGAGCAAUCUCCAGAGCCUUCACCAAUUCCAUCACCGAUUCCAACUCCAGUUACGUCGCCGAUUUCCAUGCCAGUUCCGUCGCCGGUGCCAUCUCCAACGCCGUAAGAAAAAUCUCAGGAGCCUCAAGCGCCACUUCCCGAGCCCCCAAUUCCAUCAGAAACAGCUCUGGAAGAAGUAAUCAGGCGGCCAAUGCUACCUCAGCCCCCAAUUGAGGGAAACUUGGACUGUAGAGCUCAGCCAUUUCAUUCCGAGCUAUGCUUCGACAUAUCCGCAUUCAGAGUGAGGCCGGAGCUUGCACAGUCAUUCAACUUGCUGAGAAGGUACCAUAUGGAGCAUCUGCUAGCUCCGAGAGACUUUUUCUAUCCCCGGGUAGCCAUGGAUUCAUAUCAAUCCAUGACAACCAACCAGGUCAGGGAUCCAACUUUGAUUCAUUUCACUAUCGAUGGGAGACAUGGCAUAUUGGGAGCACGCCAUAUUGCUGAAGCCCUGCAAAUUCCCUAUAAGCCAACCUAAUUCGAUAAUUUUAGAGCUUGGGCAAAUCCUACUGAGCUGGAGAUGGUGCGCACCAUUUCCAGAGGAGCUGCAAAUCGAUCACAUCUGCUGAGGGGGGAGCUUCCUCCAGUUAUGUUUUUGAUUGAUGCAUUUUUGCGUCAUAAUAUCUACCCAUUGCAGCAUUGGACCCAAAGAAGGGGAGUCCUCUUAGAAGCUCUUUACAAGAUGUCAGAAGGAUUUUUCUUUAGGCCUCAUCAUCUGAUCCUGGCAGCCCUUCUCUAUUUCGAAGAGAAGGUUCAUAAAAAGAAGCUUCAGAGAGCUGAUUGCAUUCCUCUCCUCUUUCCAAGGCUGCUAUGCCAAAUUUUGGAGCACUUGGGAUAUCCUUCUGAGCCUCAGCUGGAGAGAAAGCGAAUUUUCCGUGAGCCAUUCACUCUUGAUAAAUGGAACAACAUGACGGCCUACAAAGUUGAUCAGCCUGAGCAGCCUCAGCCAGCUGCAAGGAGAGCAUCCCCACGACAUAUACCUGAGGGUAUAACAGUUGCUGCUCCUACCAUUUCCAGAGCUCCACCAGCUGCACCAGCUUCAUCUCAGCCAUCCACUUCAGCUGAACCAAGGAUGGCCAUUCCUAUAUCUGAAUAUAGAGAGUUGUGUCGUGCAUUGGAGACUCUCACAGCUUCUCAGAGCAGUCUUGCUCAAGAGAUGGCAGCCAUUAGAGCAUGCCAAGAGCAGAUGUUGGCCACUCAGGCUCAACAAGCUGCCAUCUUAAGGCAGCUUCAGCUUCAUUUCGAUCUGCCACCAGCUGUAGAGCCCUCCACUUCUACUCCAGCAAAGCCACACUCUCAUUCCUCAGAGUCUCAUCCUCCAGAGCCCCAAGCCCCAGCUGAUGCACCCACUGAAGAGGCAGACCCAUCUGCCUAGCCCCAGCACCACCCAACUCAUCAGACUAUUAUCUAUCUAAUAUUUUUAUGUAUUUUGUUUUUUUUAGUUGAAAAGAAGUCCCAGUAUUUUGGUACUAUAUUUGGGAUUCCUUGUGUUACUUGUCUUUUGCAUUGUAAUCAAAUGAAUUUAAAGUAAUACAAGUUUAAUAUUUCUUAUUAACAAUUAGCAUUAAGUUAUCCUUAUUUCCUUUUCUCACAUAUUCUAUUCUUUUUGAAACAUGUGGUUUCCCCAAUCAAUAAUCGAAUUUGAUAUCAGCCAGGAGGUACCACUUCCUCCCUUUAAAUACAGUCACUCAUAUCACAUUGAGGACAAUGCUUAGUUCGGUUAGGGGGAAUGAGGAAGGAAGUAUGCUAAAUCUUUUUGGUAAUGCAAUUAUAUUGGUUAAUUAGUUGUAGUUUUUACUUUUUACUCUUGUUACUCUAUUCUCCAGGAAUUUUGAGGAAAAAUUUUCAAAUUAAACCAAGAGAAAUUGAUGUGUUGUUUUUCACUUGACUUAGAGUAUGGAUUAUGCUUACUAAAGUGGCUCAAUUGUUGAAACUUCUCCUGAAAUUGAAUUUAAUUCUUCCACUUUAAGCUAUUCACACACUGUGCACAUUAGAUUCCGAUUAUAAGAUGAAAAACUAUUUCCCUCUUGACUUAGGAUAAUUUUGGGACUUGGUAUAUUUGACCUCAUUUGAUAAAAAUUGAAACACCCUGCAAAAGGCCAAUGAGCCUUUGAAAUAAAGAAAGUUGUUUGCUUGCCUUGAAACCCGAGCAAGGUCUGAGGGGUAUAUGGUGAAAAUCUUUAAAGCCUGGUGCCCUAAGCCUUAAUUGGUUGGGAGUCACCGACCUCGAUGCUCGUUAUAAGGGUGAAUAGGUAGAGUUAGCAUAUGGUAGAUGCUUGGGUAUUAGAAAUUCAUUCUUAAAAGUCCAGGGAAAAAUCCGAGGAGUUAGUGGUUGAAAGAUCCUUAAAGCUUGGUGCCCUAAACCUUAAUUGGUUGGGAGUCAUCGAUGGACCCCCAUUACAUGGACAAUUCAGGAAGAGUACCCCAUAAAGCUACCUUAAAAAAAAAAAAAAAAAAAAAAAAUGAAGGUGUGUUCUUUUCUUAUUGAUUUUGGUCAGAUUGCUAAAGUAUUGAAAAGAGAUAGGUUGGGGGGAGAGAUUAGUUUAGCAUAUUAUUCUCGGAAGCUAAGGAACCAAUACACAUAGAUUUUUGUGGAAGAUUAAAGUUUGGUUCUUAGAAAGUGGAAAUGAUUUUAAAACUUCAGUUUGCAUAAUACAUUCCCUUGAUUGACAGUGUUUAGCAUAGUUUGUUAAGACUCUUGUUGAAAUUUGGGUUUAUAUUUCUUUAAUUUUUCAUGAGAGAAUUAAAUCAUCAUGCCACUUGAGAAUUAUUUUCUUUCAGCAUGAUGUUGUAAAUUUUAGAUUAGUUUACUAUUUAUUUUUAUUUUUCUCUCCUAUAUUGCUAAGGGACUAGCAAUAUGUCGAUUGGGGGGAGUGAUUACUACUCAAAAAGUGCUAUUUGAUAGCUUAUAAUUAAUCCUUUUAAACACUUUUGAGUAGUAGUUUUGGCCUUUUAACUCAAUUGGCAUGUUAAGGAUCCUUUAAAGCAAUUUUAAUCACUUUGUGUAAGUUUUGGUGUUUUUGUUAGUAAUUUGAUCACCAAAGCAAGUCAAGACUGAGGAGAGUUAUGAGGAAUAUUGGGCAAAGCUUGGAAGUCAUUUGCCAAGAGUAAAUCCGGAUUGCAAGGAGAAAAAGCAAAGAGAAUCUGCCAUAAAGCAUAUUCUUGAUGACAGUCGUAGGAGCCACUUUUGGAGUACUUUCUGAAGUCCAAAUGAUGUAUUCUAUAUACCAUUUCAAAGCUCAGGAAGUCAACAAUCCAAUGCUUUAAACGGUGUGCAAUUCGGAGUUGAAACGAAGAAGUUGCAGCCAUUGCAAGCCAAUCACUCUAAGCUGAAGGAAGCAUUUUGCAAAGUGCUGCGAAAUCACCCUUUUGUUGCGAAGUGAUUCCGCAACCUUUUUGUACAGUAGGGUGUAUUUCCUUCUGAAGUUGCCCGACAUAUACCGCUAGAGGGAAGCUGGGAACCUCAAGGUGGAAUCCAACUUCGCAGCCUUGUGAAGAUAGCAUGUUGUUGCGAAAUGAUUUCGCAGCCCUCUUGAGUGUCUGCGAAAUCUCACAGACACCAUUUUCUCUUGCGAAAUGGUUCCUGAAGCCUCCCGAUAUUUGCUACCGACAUUGGGAGAUAUUUUACAUCAGAUUUUUGUUGUCUAAAUCCCAAAAUACUCCUUGUAAGCCACCAAUUACAAGAUUCCUUAGCUUUUAAGUUAGUAAAAAGACUAAAUAUCUAUGUAAUAAUUAGUUUUAUAUUAUGUACAUAUAUAUACCUCUCGGGAGCCUGUUCUCAGAGAGGAGUUCCUUCUGUAAAAAGUUUGGGUAAGCAAGUAAAGUUUAUUUCUUUCUACUGCCUUACCUUCUCACUUUGUAUUUUUAGUUAAUACUAAGUUAUGAACUCUCUGAGGAGUUUUCCCCAGAGAAUGAGUAACUAAACCUCUAAUUCCUUGGAGCUAAGGUUGCCGGGGGAGGUUCCAAGUGCAAGAAUGCAAAGCUUUGUGGUUUUAGCUAUUAAUGAAGAGGAAGUGAAAUCCUUUAGUGAUUUCUAUGUUUUUAGUUAACUUAAAACACCUUGGAAUCACCUGGGCCAACACUUGGUAAGGCAAGUGAUUUCCAACCAUGGAAAUGCACUAGUUUACCCCUUGCGAGCCUCUGGUAGGUGAUUUCAGGGUAGGAUUUUCUAGAAUAGCCAACACUUGAUAAGCUUUUGGACUCCAAGGAGACAUCCAUUAGUUAUCUCUUGCGAGCUUUUGACGGGUAAUCUAAGGUUAAAGAUCACCUUGAAUGGUUACGGCUUAGUGAGAGGCUUAAACCAUUGCAAGUUGCAUCAGUGAGAGAAUUAAAGUGAAAUCUAAUUGAAGGAUGAAUCUGUACAACACCGGCUAGAGAAUUGACUAUAUGUUGAAUCUCUAACGCGAGGAAAGGAACCAUCUGAUCGGAGCUAUGUCUUUUGCAUGAGGAACCAUCCUAGUGAACCUAACUCUCCAAGGAAUGUUUUUCUUCCUAAGUUAUUCCAAACAUUUGUUAUGUUAGUUAGUUUAAGUCUAAACCUUUACCAAUCAAAGUUUGUGUUUUACUUCUUAAGCUAACCUUGAAAUGAAACAAGACCAAUUCACUUGGAAUUGGUAUCAUUGAGAGCUUGUUAAUUUUUCCCAGUGGACGAUCCUAGAGCCACUAUACUAUAGUAGCUUUUUCUUUGCUACCCUAGUAUAUGGUGUUAUAGGUUAUAAAUUUUGUUGAUUACUACCUCAAUCAAGGAGAACCAGCUGGACACGAAUCAGCUGAGACACCAAUUGGGCACGAAUCAGAUGAUUGGCUAAAACUUUUAGUUUCUCAAAGUAUGGAUGUUAUGUGAUGGCUUGGAUGCAAUCCCAUGGAAAUUUCUCGCACCUGGAAGGUAAGGUAGUCGUUUUUCAUUAAAGGUUCAUUAAUGCAAAGUUUGGUUUUUUAUUUCCUUUAGACAACUUCCAACGGCCAAUACUUGAUAAGCUUUUGGAUUUCUAUACAUUAGUUAUCUCCUACGAGCUAUUCGAAGGUGAGGUUUUCAAUUCCAAGUUUUGCAUUAAUCCGUUAGAACCAAUUUCAAUGACCAUUGAAAGGUGAGUUUAUCACCUGGAAUGACUUUGAGUUGCCAAUAUUUGGUAAGCUUUUGGCUUUAGACCAUUAGUUAUCUCUUACGAGCCAUUCAAAGGAAGUCUAAGGUGAAUAACCAUUGAUGAAAUUCACUACCAUCUGUUUUGCCAUUUUAAAGUAUUAAAACUUGAUUUGCUAAAUCCAUACCGGUUCGGGAAGCAAGCAUCACCAUAGUUGCAACCCCAACGCGAGGAGCCUAUCCUGAGAUUUCCAAUUUGCAUAAGAUCCAGAGCAUAGCUAUCCUAUCUUUGAAAAACUUGUUUUUACACCCUUUCAUUUUAGUCUUUAAUGUUAGCUUAAAUUAGUUUAAAUCUUUCUAAAACAUUUACAUCUUCUUUUAAAGCUAACAACCAUAAGAAAAUCACCUAUUUUCCUAAUUUGAAUAUCACUAGUGUUUGCGAAAACCCUUCCCAGUGAACGAUCCUAGAACCACUAUGCUAUAGUAGCUUAGCUACUUUAGUAAUAGUAUUUAAGGUAUAAAUUUUGUUGAUACGCCUUUAAAGCUAAGCUACCAUGAGUCGAAUCAUUGACAUCCCGACAUUCCAGUCUCCUGUAAAAGAUCUAAGGCAUACUUUCUUUGAGACAGAAAAAUUCCUUCACUUGAUCUUUCAUUUCUAAUUCACUAGAUAGAUAAUUUUGCAGAGCUUUUCUUUCUUCAGGAUCAUUUCCUGUAACUACCAUGUCAUCCACAUAUACGAUGAGUGCCGUAAUCUUACCAUGUUGCUUUUUCAGGAACAAAGUGUGAUCUGAAUUACUUUGAUGAUAGCCAAAAGCUCUCAUUGACUUUGUGAACCUUCCAAACCAUGCUCUCGGGGAUUGCUUCAACCCAUACAAUGACUUCUUCAAUUUGCACACCUUCUGACAUUGUUUUUCUGACACCAUGCAUCCUGGUGGAAGAUCCAUGUAUACUUCUUCAGAUAACUCGCCAUGCAGAAAGACAUUUUUCACAUCGAACUGUUGUAAUGGCCAAUCUAGGUUUGCAGCUAAAGAUAGUAAUACUCGAACUGUGUUGAUCUUAGCUACAGGUGCAAAUGUCUCUGUGUAGUCAAUUCCAUAAGUUUGAGUGUACCCUUUUGCUACCAGUCUUGCUUUAAAUCGUUCAAUACUACCAUCUGCCUUGUACUUCACAGUAUAGAUCCAACAACACCCAACUGGCUUCUUUCCUGGUGGACAUUCUACGAGUUCCCAUGUUUCAUUCUUCUGUAAUGAUUUCAUUUCUUCAUUCAUGGCUGCUUUCCACCUUGGAUCAGUUAAGGCUUCCUGCACACUGUUAGGAAUAGCUACAGUAGAUAAUUGAUUUAUAAAUGACUUAUUUGAUUCAGACAAACGAUGGUUAGACACAUAGUUGCUCAUGGGAUAUUUGACUUUGGUAGACAAUUCAGGUUCAUAUGUGGGUUUAGGAAUACCUCUAUUAUGACGGUGUGGUAACCGUUUCAUGAAUGGAUCAGGUUCCAAAUUAAUAACACCCUCAGCAGACGACGAUUGGUUUGGUAUUUCAGUGAAGACAUCUUCGAACCCAAAUUGUUGACCACUCAUAUUCAACUCACCCGCUUCCUGGUUCACUAGCUCAGAUUUUCCAAAUUCAUCCUCCUCAUAGAUAUGAUAAUCAUAAUUGAGAGUCUGAAUUUCCUUAUGGUACUCCCCCUGAAGUUCAGACUCAGCNNNNNNNNNNNNNNNNNNNNNNNNNNNNNNNNNNNNNNNNNNNNNNNNNNNNNNNNNNNNNNNNNNNNNNNNNNNNNNNNNNNNNNNNNNNNNNNNNNNNUCUGAAUUUCCUUAUGGUACUCCCCCUGAAGUUCAGACUCAGAUGAAAAAUACAUCGAAUCUUCAUGAAACACCACAUCCAUUGUAAUAAACAUUCGUCGAGUUGGAGGAUGGUAACAUCGAUAUCCCUUUUUGUGCAAUGCAUAUCCAACAAACACACAUUGCAAUGCAUGGGAAGUUAACUUGGUGCGUUGGUGUUUGUGUAGAUGCACAAAUGCCAUGCAACCAAAAACACGAUGAGGUAGAUUUGGGACGGUUGGGGCAACUAUGGCAUUAGUAAGAGCUUGGAGAGGUGUUUGGAAGUUAAUUGGGCUAGAAGGUACCCGAUUGAUCAAGUAUGUGGCAAAUGUGAUUGCUUCUCCCCAAUAAGAUAUCGGUAUUUUUGCUGCUAUCAAGGAAGCACGAACAACCUCUAACAAGUGACGAUUUUUCCGUUCAGCCACUCCAUUUUGUUGGGGUGUAUUGGAACAAGUAGUCUAAUGAAUGAUGCCAUGUUCUUCCAAAUACUUUUGAAGAUCAGAACUCUGAAAUUCUCCACCAUUAUCACUACGCAAAACCCAAACCUUUGCAUUGUACUGAGUUUCAAUCAUUUUAUGAAAUUUUUGAAACAACAAGUUCACUUCAUCUUUGGUCUUCAUCAAGCAUAACCAUGUCAUUCUGGUACAAUCAUCAAUAAAAGUAACAAACCAACGUGAGCCACUCAAAGUUGGGACUUUGGAUGGGCCCCAAACAUCAGAAUGUAUAACCAUAAAAGGAAGCGAACUUUUAUUCAAAAUUAACGGAAAUGAAGCACGAUGACUUUUAGCCAAUUCACAAAUAUCAUAACGGAAACCAGAAAUAUCACUAUUUGCGAACAAACUAGGAAACAAUUUUUUUAAAUAACCAAAGGAAGCAUGUCCCAAACGUCGAUGCCACAACCAAAUUUCAGACUUUUUCUUCUCCUCCUCAGAUCCAUCUGCCAUCAAGGUUUGUUGCAACUUAUUUGAAUCCUUUAACUGCAAGUCCAAGUAAUAGAGUUUUCCCCUCUUAAUACCACAACCAAUCGUCUGUCUUGUUUGGAUGUCCUUAAUCAUACAAAAUUCAGGCCAAAAAAUGACAAUACAAGAUAAGGCUACAGUAAUUUGAGAAACUGACAAAAGAUUGUAAUCUAAAGAUGGAACAACUAAAACAGAAUCCAAAUUCAAAGUAUCAGUAAGAGUUAAGGAUCCUUCCCCAAUGACUGGGGUUGUGUUACCAUUGGCUGUGGAAACAAUUUUUUGUGAGGAAGGUCUAAGGGGUGAAACCUGUCUAGAAUCAAAAGUCAUAUGAUCUGUAGCACCAGAAUCAAUUAUCCAUGCACUAUUAAUAACAGAUGUAAAAGUAUUUAAAAACUUACCACCAUGAUCUAUAGCGGCUACCAAUGCAAGGGCUUUCUCAACAACAUUAGCCUUUGUUUUUAUUUCGGCAACAGUUGCAGUCGAGGUUUUCUUGGAAUCCUUCUUUCGUUGAUCAUGAUUAUUAUCAUUAAUAACAAAGUGGUGAUAGCCUAAACAUGAUCUAAAGGUCCAUGGUUCAAACCCUCGGUUCCUCAUUGUUUUCCUAGUCAUACCAAGAGUCGUUGCUUUGAAAUUGUGGGAUAUCCAGACUAGUGGGAUCAGUCUUAUUGCAAUGAGUGCAUUUGAAGGUUGACUUAUCAAUAUUAGGGCUUGUCUUAGGAUGGUUGAUCGCUGUCGGACUACCAUAGCGACAAAAUAUCUAGGAUUUCAAUUUCAUGGCUCUGAUACCAUCUUCAAAUUGAUAAAUAAUAGUUUUUUCAUUAAUUUUAAUUCAUUCGCUCAUGUACAGAGUAUAUAUAGAGGGUAAUCACCAUUCUAAGAAUGGUAAAAAAUGAUACAAGGAAAGAAUGAUAUAAGGAAAUAACAACUAAUAUCCUAAUAUCUCAAUAUUCCUAAUAUCUCAACUUUCCUAAUAUCUAAACAUUCCUAAUAUCUCAACACUAAAUGAUAUAAGGAAAGAAUGAUAUAAGGAAAACAUUCCUAAUAUCUCAACAGAGCAAUGGGAAGAAGAAAGCAGCAAUGCAGAGAGAGACGAGGACCUCGAACCAGGUCUCCAUUGUUGGCCUUAGAUCUUCUUUGGUUGCUGACAAGAUAUAUAAUGGUAAGCUACCAUAUGGGAGACUUUGUUCCACAUUGAAUAAAAGACUGCUAAAAUUAUUAAAAUUCUUCAAAUAAUAUUAAACCCUUUUUUCUAUAUUGAAACUAGAGAGUAUAUGCUUUAAAAUUAGAAAAGUGAGAUGACCUAGUCUAUAAACUGCCAAAUAGAUAGGUUAAUGAAAUUUUAAAAAAAUCUUAAGUGACAAUGUAUAGAAAAUCAAGAAGACAACCUCCUAUACUUGUCAAAUUUUAUUAAAUUUUUUUGAAGGUUAUUAAUUUUUAGGUUAUUUUUUGUUGAUAAAAAAUUUAAAGGGAAAAAUAAAGAGUAAAAAAGAAAAGAAAAGAAAAAAAAAGAAUAAUUAAUAAAUUAUUUUUAUAUAUUAUUUCACAUCUACCUAAUUAAAAUUCAACUUUUUAUAUAAAAAUUAAAUAAUUUUAAAAUAUAUGAGUUUUAAAUAAAUUUUAAUUACAUUUAAUUUUAUAUUAUAUUUUUAUAGUAAAAUUAAAUAUGGAAAUAAUAUUUUUUAUUAAUUUUUUAAAACCGUAUUAGUUUAUGAAUAUUGAGAGAGGAAGAGGGCCUUAUCCGAUAGGCAUUGUUGGAGAGAAUGUGACAUGGUCCUAUCAUCAAAAGAAAAAGGACGAAAAGUGACAAGGUUAUGUCAUAUCAAAGAAAAAAAAUCAUACAAUAAAUUUGGAGUUAUAAACUGGGAUAAAAAAGGUUACUUCGAAGAAACUUGGGAAACUUGUGUUUCCAGCCUAUGAUUAGGAAAAUAUAUGGUUUUGUAAUCCUAUAUAAGUGAAAUAUGAGAUUUCUCUAUUAAUGGGGAAAAUAUUAUAUUUCUCGUGCACUAUAUACUGUUUAGGUAUGCAUUUCCAAAAUUGCUCUUUAAUGUUUCCCUGUUAGCAACCACCGGUGUCCAUGUCAUCAGGAAGGUGUGCAAUUUAAUAAGCACCAAAAUUUGAAACUUGAAGUUAUCAAAUCUUAAACUCACAAAACACUCAACCCGAGAAAUAUUUGAAAUUUGUGAAACUCUCUCUAUCACUUCCUCUCGUUUUGCCCUAACUCGAUCUCAAAAAAUUCUCAUUUUCAUAGCUCGUUUGAUACACGAAGGUAGGCAAUCGAUUUGUUUAUUUAUGUCCUGACCAGGCGAUGGAUACCCAUCUUCCCAAAGUUGUCUUCAUCUCAUUUUAGCCUAACCCUAGUGUCUCUCUCUUCACGAGUUGACCACCCAAACCCAAUAGACAUCUUCUGAAAACCUUCAACGAAGCCAAAGUCAAGGCAUAUCUUCAUAUUUCUUCAUCAAAGGUGGAAUUUUUUUAAGGUUUUUGGAAACCAAACUGGAGCUUCCUCUUGUUGUGGAUUAAUCAAUUACAGGUGAGUUUUCCAUUUAAAGAUUCAUUUGGUUGUUGAGAAAAUAUUAGGCCGAAGGUCUUAUAUUUUGGGGUUUGUUUUAUUUCGAUUCAUUUUUGCAUGAAUGAAAUAGAGGGAAAAUUUGUUUUGGUUAAAGAAAUUUUCAGAUGGAAUGAAUUUUGAAAAUGAGAAUGGUUGUUUUUCGUUGUUAACGACCCUGUGAUUUAGAAUAUUUGGGAUUUUUUUUUGUUAUAUAUUAAAUUUUUAUGUUUACAGGAACGACUGCUUGUGGGGAAUUGUUUAGGGAAAAUUUUUUGAGAACCACACACAUCAUUAAUUUGUUUUAUGUUCCUUUUUAGUUUUGAAAAUGGAAGAUAUUUUUCUGAAUGUGAAUGGGAGCCUUAGCUUAAUAGCUUGUGUGUAAUAAAGGAACGAGACUAUGUUGAAAUAGUGAAAAAGAUGUUUCUGGGUUAUGUACUUUCAAGAAUCAUAUACAAUUAACAAUGUAACUUUUUAGUUUGAUCCAAAAAUAGCUUGUUGUAGGACUUUAUUGUUCUUACAAGACAUUUUUUUUGGUAACCUGUAAUCUAUUUAUCAUUAGCUCAUGGAUGUUACAUACUGCAAAGGAUUUAAACCAAGGGAGUUGUGGAUGAGUGGCAAAGUUUGAACUCUUUGAAAUUUUAUUUUUUUAUCCCAUUGAGAGAAAACUAUCUUGGCGUUGACAUUUUAAAUGCAAGUAAGUGACAUAGGCCUUAUGGGUGAAAAUAGGUGGAUUAAGUUUAUCAAUACUACAAUCAAAUUCUCUAUAGUGAAAAAAUAAAAUUCUCCUUUUGGUUUUUCACCAAUCUUACUAGUUUUGAGACAAGGCAAUCCAUUUUCCUCAUAUUUGUUUAUGUACUCAUAGAAGCCUUGAGUUAUAUGAUUCAAAGAGCCAUCAAUAAUGGUUUCCUUCAAGGCUUUAUGACUAGCGAAAUAAUGUUGAAGGGUUAUAAUUUUUUCAUUUAUUCUUUGUUAAGGGUUGUAUUCUUUCCUUUGAUAGGAAAUGGUAAUGAUUAAUUGUUAGUUGUGGGGUGAACCUUCUUUUCUUUUUGGUGGUUCUUUGAAUGAAUAGAAAAUUUUAUUUCCGAAGUAGAAUAUCAGAACAUGGAAUUACUACUUUAAUUGUUGGUUAAAGGGUAGGGCGUUUGACAUUUAUGUACUUAGGCUUACCUUUAGAUGUUCCUUUUAGAUUGAUGUUAAUUAGGGAUUUAGUAGAAGAAAGGAUCAUAAGAAAGUAACUUCUUAAAGAAGACAAUAUUUAUCUAAGGAUAGAGACCAACUUUGAUUAAAAGUUACCCUUACUAACUUCUCAAUUUAUUUCAUAUAUAUAUUUUUUUAUCUUGAAGUAGACAAUUCUUUGGAGAAUAAAGUUUAUUUUACAAAGUGUCUACCAUUUGUUUAGGGAAACGAGUAGGAGUUUUGAAAGUUAGAAAUCUUUUAAUACUAAACAAGUUGUUCCUUAGAAAGUAGCUUCUGUGAUUGCAUGGUUGUAAUUUCUAAAUUAAUUCUCAUCCUGAAAUUGGCAUUGUGUACAAAAAUUGUAUCUGAUGAUGUGGUGACAUUUAGGUUAAUUCAAACAUAGGAUAGUUGACUUGAUGUUGAUCACUUGUUAAAGAGGUUUAAUGGUUACAUGUUUUGUAGAUUUUUCUUAUCUUGAUCAAAUUAGCAUAGCGACGAUUACCGACUAGCCAAAUGCUUAUAAAAUAUUACUUUGUACUUGUCUGAGCUGACUUGAUUAAUUAAUGAAAACCCUUCAAAAAUCAGGAUUUAUCGUUGUGUACGCAUUUAUUAAUAUUUGGAGGUUCGCUAGGUUCUUUAUGAUACAAGUGGCUUAUUGGAAAAGAACAUAGAUCCUCUUCACUCUGAUUUGAUCCAGCUCCUCUUAUCAUGUAGUUACAAGCUUCAUCAGUUGUUUGCCUCCAAUUUGCUCGACCACUCCUAGAAGCAAGCUAGUCAUUUAUCCUUAGGUGCAUUUGAUUCGCAGAAGCGAAGUGUUGGGACAAAGUUUAAGGUAAAGAUGUUUGUUUCCUGGAAUUGCAUAUACUGUGCAUUUAGCUAGAAACUAUUUUUCAAUUACAAGCCACCAAAUAUGAAAUGUGGAACAAUACUACAGUAUGUGAAGUAAUAAUGUGUAAAACCUACUCUCUUUUGACAAUUUAAUUGAUUUAAAAUUGUAAAUAGUAUUUGCAUAAGUACCUAUUAAUGUGGUUAUUUGGAUUAUUGCCUGCAUAUAUGGUAGUUUGGAGAUCAUAAAGAGUUUUUUUUGUUGUUUGAUGAAGGUCCUUUAUGCGUCUAUGAUGAGAUGAAUAUCAUUUGUUCACCCCAUAGUAUUUUAUGUAAUGCUAGGUUUUUAACUAGUUUGUGUAUAAAUGUUAUUUAAUUUAUAACAAAUUACAUGUUUAGCAAACUUGUCAUAGAAAACAUGUUUACCGGUCAUGAAAAUUUAAAUAUUCAAACUGUUUUCUUGUUCCUAUAUAUUUUCUAAUAAAACAAACAUAGAUAUGAAUAUGUAAAAAUAAAUUUUAGGUCUAGAGAAAAGGUUAAGCAUGCAGUUAGAAUGAGAUAUAUUUGGUUUUACUUAAAUGUGGUAUUGUCAGGAGAUGUCUUAAUUAGUUGUCAUUGUGAAUUAGAAGCUUAAUAGUUGAUGUCAAAAAAUUUGAGGUUGGUAUAUGUGAUCAUCUCAGUCUUGAAGAACUUUUCCCCUAUCUAGUUAUGGCAUGAAUCCAAGGACUUCAAAAGCCAGUCCAACACUCCUCUACUCAUUUUGAUCCAUCUCUGAUAACCUUUGCCUUUUUCCAUUAUAUAUACACUCCUCUACCCCUUGACUCGUCUAGCUUUAAGCUCAAAACACUUGGACUCAGUAAGGACCAACCUUGAGUUUUUUACACCCCUUGGAUCCAUUUCCUUUCUCUCUAUAUUCCUCAUUACUUCUAAAUGUGCAACACUAGCUAGCUACCUAUGUCUAGUAUUUAUUGAUACAAACACAAACAUUUAUUUAUUUAUUUAUUUUUGAGGAAUUUGAUACAAACACAAACACAUGCAACCACAAACAUAUUUAGGUGUACCUUAGGUUAAGGAUGGUAGUAGAUGUGUUGAUAUGGGUGGAAAAAGGAAAGAAAUAAAUAGGUUUGAAAUGUAAAAUAGCCCUACUGUGAGCUCUUCAAGAGUAGAGUGCACAUCAUAAAACACCUUUUUCUUUUGGAGAAAAAUGACACAAUUCUUAUACAUGUCCACAUUGGCAAAAACAUUUAAACAAAUUGAUUGCCUCACUAAAAGAGAAAAGAUUGUACUUGCCAUAAUGUUUCUUGGAACUAAAUUUCCAAUGAAGUUGGUUGCACAAAUUCCCUUAUGAUUCAUCCCCAAUUGGUGGUCUACUUGAUUCAGUCCUCAGACAGGAGUUAUCAACAAAAUUUAUAAACCUAAUUCACCAUAUACUAGGGUAGCGUAGCUAGCAUAGUAUAGUGGUUCUAGGAUCGUCCACAGGGAUGGGUUUUCAUAUCACACGUGACAUAUUUAAAGUACUGAAAUGAUGCUUUUUCUUUUACAAGUUAGCUUUAAAAGAAAACAUAAUUUUGAUUGAAAAGGUUUGGUUUUAAGCUAACCAAAAAUAGUAACUGAUAUUAAUUAUAAAGAAAAGGUUUCUUGGAGUUUUAGGUCAUUAGGUUCAGGUUCCUUAGACAAAAGGGGAAGAUUCUGGAUCUUUUCCUCGCGUUGGGGAUAAUAACAUAAAAAAUGGUUAUCUCCCGAACCGAUGUGUAUUUAGCAAUCAAGUUUUGAUCCCACUGGUCCAUGAAAGAAUGCAGUUGCUUCCCAUUAAUGGUUUCAAACACUAAAGACCUCUCACUAUGAAUCAUCUUUCAAUGGCUCGUACCUCACACCUAGUAUUGGCCAUUCAAGGUGAUCUUAACCUUGGAUUACCCUUCAAAAGCUCGCAAGAGAUAACUAAUGGAUCUCCAGGAAGUCCGAAAAGCUUACUAAGUGUUGGCUAUUCUAGGUAAUCCUACCUUUAAACCAUCUCCUAGAGGCUCGCAAGAGAUAACUAAUGGAUCUCCAAGGAGUCCGAAAAGCUUACCAAGUGUUGGCCCAAGUGAUUUUAAGGGAUUUUAAGUUAAACCUUAAAAAAAAUAUAAACCAUUAACGAGUCACAACUUUCCCCAUUUAAAGGAAGGAAAACUCCCACCUUUGUAUCCGAAUCCCUUACCCAGCUUCAUUCAGUUCAAGAAACAAAAAACCUAGCCACUCAUCCUCAAAGGUUGCUUGACUAGAAAGAAAAUUAAAAACAAAGUGAGAAGGUAAGGCAGAGCAAAGCUCUAUGUAUUUCUUACUACAAUAAUUUACAAGUGAUCCCCUGGAAUUUCUUCUGAUAUUCCGAGAUAUUACAAAAGAGAUAUUUUAAGACAUAUAUAAAGAGAUAUUUUUAACCCCUCAUUUAGAUAUCCUAAAUAUCUAAAAAUAUCUUUAGCUGAUUACAAGGAGAGAAUAGGUAAUUACAUAAAAUAUCUCGAGAUAAAAAUCUAAUGGAGUCGACGCAAAAAUAUUUGAAGAUUACACAGGAAGAUUUCGUAAUGCUUGCGAAAUUUCGCACAGGGUGCGAAAUUGAUUUUCCUCAGCUUUGGUUUUGCAAGGCUUGCAAAAUUUCGCAAGAGGUUGCGAAAUUCAUUUUCCAAAGUCUUCCUCUCUGUCCUGCAACUUGUACUCCUUUUGGCAUUUCGCAAGGCUUGCGAAAAUUUCACAUAACCAUGCAAAAUUGUUGGAUGUUAGAUUUCUUCUCUGAUUCUCUUCCUUGCAUACUUGAUUAAUUUGGUGAAGGCUACGAAGCUCUCCAAAACUUGGAUUCUUCAUGUGUUUGAGCUUCAACUUGCUUUGCUAUGGACUAUACACAAUUCUCCCUCAUUCUUGGCUCAUUUUAAUGAUAAAAAAGCUAUCAAAAACACCAAAACUUGCCAAAAACUAAUUAGAAACAUUUGCAAGGGUUCUUAAUGUGCCCAUUGAGUUAAAAUGUAAUAAAUACUACUCAAAAGUGUUUAAAAGAGUUUAUAACAAGCUAUAAAAGAGUACUUUUUGAGUAGUAAUCACCUUACUUUUGUCUAAACUAUGUUCAAGCAAAUGAGUUUGUUGCAUAAAAUUUUCAAAGAAUUUCUUAUUUUCUGAAAAAUAAAAACCUAAGAUGAUCUCUUGAUGAAGACUUUCUUGGACACCACCUAGUAGAGGAGAAUCUGAACCUGUGAUGCCACCAUAUGUGCAAAGUGGAAAUGUACAAAACUUGCAUAUGUUCAAGGUGAACCAAUUGUGGAGGAGAGUUGUAGAAUAUACGAUAUAGCUAAAUUGAAACCUUAUUUUAAUUUGUAACCGGGUCAGGUUCAUAAGGUAAUUUGAUGGCACAUAUGCUUGAACAGUUUAUGAACUUAUUCUCACCCAUGUAUAUACUUGGUCACCAAGAAUCAUGGGUCUCUCUAACUUCCCAAAAAGUUAAAAAAAAAAGUGUUAUAACAAAGUGAUUUGCAUCAGGCUUGUAUUUUAAGAUUGGCUUCUACAUCAAUUGCAUUUCAAGUUGUGAUAAAAUAAAAAAUACUUAACAAUAUCAUGGAUUGGACUUCUAUGUUGGGGUUGAUUUUUUUCGGCAAUUGAGAUAUGAAUAUAUUUAUAUUAUUCAAAAUUGGAACUUGAUCUUGAUUUUUUAUUCAAAAUUAUUGUGGAAAAUUUAAAAUCUUAAUGGAUCUUUUCUGUGAUAUUAUUCAAUGGUAUUACAUCUGUGUAGUUCUCUUACCACUAACUAUUAUAGUUUGAAGUAUAUUGUCCAAAUCUGGAUUGCUUAUAUAUGCACUAACUUUUGUUUCCAACUCACUUUUCAUAAGUUCAAGCGUACUCAGAAUCAUCAAGACAAUCAAAUUCCCAGUCAUCAGAAGAUGGGUCGGUAUCAUUGCAACUAUUUUAUAUGAUUUUAUGUUGAUUUCUAUCUAUUGGAUUCUAGAUUGGUUGUUGCUAAUAGAAAUAUGCAAGUUAAUUAUUUUGACAUUCAUUUUUAUAACAACAGUUGAAGGGGUAAAAUUCUUCAGAUGAAGGGACUGGAAGGGAAAUUGAGAUUCAAGGAUUUAACUAACAUGGUAUGCCAUCAACUCAUGAAGUUCAUUUGUAUAAUUUCUCUGUUGGCUAAACAUGAUCUUUUUUUCAAGUUGAUAACUUGAUAUUGUGCGAUUUCUGAAUCCAUUUUAGUUGGAAAUUAAUUAUUUCAUGUGGGUAGUCUAUUGGAGCCUACCUAAUAGCCUUAUAAAGUGUUAAAAAUACCACACAAAAAAAAAAGAAUAAAAAACUAGUGUUUGCACAUUUGUUAUGUUUGGUGUGUUGCAUAAAUGAACACAAUUCAAUAGGAAAAACGCCGACUCAAUGGAACACUGAUUUUAGAAGAUGCUUACUGCUUGAGGCUUUUAAAUGUAAAAAAUGUCACACUAAGAUGACCCAUUUUUUUUUUGGUUUUUUUGAUUUAUCAAAUUGAGAUGAUCCUUAGCACUAUAAAUCAAUUGCUUGGUUUCCAACUCAUUGAAAGCUAGCCAGUCAUUGACUAUUCAUACACCAUAAUUCUUUAUAAUUUGUAGUUGUUGGAUGUAACAGAAAAUUUCAUACUUAUUACAUGUAGAAGCAGAGUUUAACCCAUUUUUCUAUUUCCCAACUUGGAAGGCAAACCCACCUCCUAAGGAAUGGCUUGCAACACACACAUUGUUGUUUCCAUAGUUGUGUGCAACUUAUUUUAGUGCUUCAAAAGCUCUUUUGAAUCUAACAGAACCCUUUAAGCUUUCCUAAGCCAGAAAGCGGAGAUCAUCCUCAAUGUCUCUUCUAAUAGUUAGGCUCUUGAGUAAUGUCCCUCUUAUUGCUAGAACAGCCCUAGGUGCUCCACUGGGUCUAAUGAGGAUAAUUUAUUAGAUGUAGAAGCCCAAUUAGAUCAUCCUUAAUGUACUUGUUUUAGUCAUGGCUUUGCCAUGACUAAAACAAGUACUUCAACAAAAGAGCAACUGCAAUUUGUUGAAUGAAAAAUGUUGUCAUAGGUCACAUGCUUCAAAGAUUAAGUUAGAAUGCAUUAUUGCCCAAAAAAAGAGGAAUUAAAAGAAAGAAAAAGACAACUGCAAUUUUACAAAUAUUCAGUUAGAAAUUUUACCUAUAUGUGGAGCUUUUGGAAAACUCAUUUCUAGCAUUGAGAAAUAGGCAUAAAACAUUGACCACUUCAUGAGUAGAAUACCAUAAAUGUGACUAAGGCAAAUCAGAACUUGUCUCUUGGAAUAAAAUUUUUCUUCUUCCAAUUUGUGUAGGGAUCUUCUGUAUUAUAUGUUGUUCUUUAGAUAUAUCAAAUCUUGGGUUAAGGGAUGGGUAAAUUCUGGAAAAUUAACCAUGAAAUAUGUGUUAUGAUCCUGCAACAAUUAACAAACCAUAUUUUAAUGUUUAUGCAAAAGGCUUACAUCAACCAAGUGAUGCUUUAUAGUUAUCAAUACACAAAUAGGAGGAGUUGGAAAAUAUGCAUUAUUGCAGUUAAAGUAUAUUUAGUAGAGCAAAUUUAUAAUUUUACAUUCUCGAAGUCUACUUCAAACGAACCUAGUAAGAAAUGAUCAAGGACUCUAAACUAGCUCAAAGGCUAUUUCACAUAUUUUUUCUAAAUUAAACAUUAAAAAAAUUAAAAAAACAUUUGGUCCUUUACAGGUUCCUUGAAAAUUCAUCUCCAUAAGUAUUAGUUUAAUCUAAAUGCACUGGAUAAACAACCAUAAGGAGUAUUCCCCAACUGAGGAGAAAUUCUCAAACACAUGAAAACUUUGGGAUCUUUUCAUCCUUUUUACAAGUGAAGGACUAAAAAUUUACAGGAAGAAAUGAUGAAGUAUCACUGACAAAUUGAGUGCCUUUUUGGUGCUCAAUUCAUUAAACUGAACUUGUGAGAAUGAGAGAUUUUUUAGAUUGUCUUUCCUUGCAACUAGAAUAUACUAAUAUUCUUAAGAAUAAGGUGAAUCUACACAGUCAAGGCAUGACAACAAUACCAUGGAUAUAUGAAUCAUUCCAUAGAAUAUUACUGAUGUUUUGUAAGAUAAUCUUCUAAAAGAGAAACAAAAAAAUUGUGACUAUAACAUGGCCAAUUGAUUUAUCCCAAAAACAUACAACAAUUCCAUAUGUACAGUAGUACAUUGUACGGUAAAGAAUUUCCCAUGUUGCUUUAACAUGAUGAACUGAUUUACCAUAGUGUCUAUAGUAGUAGGUUUUUAGCCAUUCCUACAAGAGAAAUAAGUUAAAAUCACGAUUAUAAAACACCAAAUGUCAUCAAUUAUCAACAAAAAUUCAGACCACUGUUAUACAAGGCUUCAUAUCAAUCAAGUCAUGCACUUGGAAAUUUAAAAUUCUAAUAUUUAAAAUCAAGCAUACAACUCAUAAAGAAUGGGGGUAAGGGAAAGAGACCAUAAUUACAAAUAACAAUGCUUAAACAGUUUGCAGAGCAUGCCAAAAGAUCCUUGUCAUGUUCAUAGGACACAUACUUAUAUAAUGUUAGGAACUUUCUCCCCUAUUCAAUGUAAGAUAUCAUAAAAAGUUGAUUAACUAUAUUUUUGGUAAUGAGAUAGUUAUGAUUCAAUGUGUAUAAUUGGUUGGAUUUGACUUUGAAACCAUAAAGAGGUAAAGAAUUUGAAUGACAAAAAGUAUAUAUAAUUGCAAUACACUCAAGUCUUUUAAAUAUAUACAUAAACAUGACUAUACAAGAGAUACAUAGAUUAUAUAAAGAAUACAUAUAUUGUUCCUAAACUUAAGGGUUAAUAAUUGAUUGCUCUUGAUUUAUGAGUGAGUUUGAUUCUCUUAUAAAAUACAUUUUUUAAAACUUUCUUCAUAUUUUUAACAUUUUCUCUCUUUCUUUGUUUAGUGCUUUUCAAAAAAUCAAACAUAGCCUAAAAAAUUUUAAAAUAUUCAUAUUUUUGUUUAGAUAUAUCGUAUUUAAGAUUUUUCAAAAAUAAGAAUUAUUUUUUUCUAAUUUGAUGAUUAUUUUAUUUUUUUAAUCAAAUAUUUCUAAUGAAACAAGGGUUUUUUUUUUUUUUAAGUUACCUCUACCAAGUUCAUUUUUCAAACUAACAUUUUGCCAAUCUCAUCACCACAUACAUGCAUCAAUCACUCUAGCACUUCAAUAAAAUUAGUAUGACCAUGAAUUAGAAUAUACAUAUAUAUAUAUAUAAAGCAAACAACCUUCCCAUUACCUCAUAACCAAAUCAAAGGUUCGAUAUAUUGCUAAAGUAGUAGUAUAAAAAAUCACACUUUUUCCUAGUAUAUCUUUUGAUUCCUCAAAAAAUAACUGACAUUUCUUUCUCUUAUGCUAUUUUCCUCAAAAAUUAAAUUAUAUGAUUUCAAAAAUGCUAAAAUCAAUCGCUUUAGCCCUUUAGUAAAAUUAGUAUGAGUAAUUAUCAUGAACAAGAAAAAGAGGAUUCAAAUGGUGCACCAAUAUACUAAAGUGAGUCUUCUUCCCAUCUCAUCAACCUAGAUAUAUAGAACCAAUCCUCCACCAACCUUCCCAUUACCUCAUAACCAAAUCAAAGGCUCUAUUCCUAAAGCAAGUAAUAGUAUAGAAAAAAAUUACACUUUUCUUUACUGUGUUUUUCCCUCAAAAGUAGAGUAAAAACAAAGAAACUUACCUUUGUUUCCAUUAUGCUAUUUCCAAAAUAAAUAAAUAAAUAAUUAAGUUUAAUGAUUUCAGAGGAAUAUUAUAAAAGAAAGGAUAAAAAUGUUAAAGGAGUCUUUUUUUUUUUUCAGAACUUUUUUAUCGAUAACCAAACAUCGUAUGAAGUUUUACUAAUUUUUCUUUUUUCUUUUUUACAUUUUUUUUAAUUUAUCUCCAUUUUUUUCUUACAAAUUUUCUAUGGCUUAACCUAACGCAACCUAAAUUUUAAAUGAGCUAAAUCUAUUAUUAGAUAUCGAUGUCAGUUGAUUGAAGAUUUAGCUGAGAUAACGAUUAUAUAGUUAAUUGAAGUAUUAGUAAUAAUUAAAGCAUUAAUUGAAGUUCAAAUUAUGGGGAAAGAAAUGGAUUUACAUAAAAUUAAAUGAGAACAUGGGAAGAGAAAUUGAUGUGCUGCACUUAGAGAACUCAAUAAAACAUGGCAGCAAAUAAUGGCUUUACUGGAAUAGGUUAGAUGAAAAAUGAAAUGCAAAUGUAUAUAUAAUAACAAACAUCACAUAGAAACUUGAAAAAAUCACAUGGGGAUGUUAGUUAGACUGGAACUUGGGCUAGAAUUGAAGUUGGAACCAAAUUCCAUUUAAAAGAAAUUGAAGUUACAUUAUGAAAAGGUAAGAUGAUUAAUAAUAAAAUAAUAUUGGAUUGUGAAGUCUGAAUCGGUUUUGUUGCGUUUUGUUUAGGAUGUUGGUGGUCGAACUCCCUAUUGAGCUCAUGGGGAUCAAACCGAUUGGUCAAUUGUAGGGAUAACACAUUCUAUUUUAUAUAUAUAUAUAUAUAUAUGAUGAAUGACGAGUUUACUCUUAUUAUAUAUUGAACAUUAUUAUGUUUUUUAAGGUUUUUUUAGAGGGCACAACCACAAUUGAGAUGUUUUUUUGGAGAUCAUUAUUGUAAUUUUUUUUUCUUUUCUUUUGAUUAGUGAAUUAUUGAGUGUUAGUACUUUUUUUGGAUAUAGAGAAAACAUUGUUUGCCCAAUCACCUUCAAAAUCUCGUGUUUUUUAUUUUAUUUUAUUUUGUAUUUUCUUUUUGUAUGUAUACAUAGUUUUGGUUAACAAAUAAAGAGUAGUGAUCUGUGAAUAGAGUUAGUUUUUUUGAAGUCCUUGAAUUCAAGGAAGGAAACUUACUAAGUUAAAGGAUUUAUUUAGUCAUCAAAAUAAAAUAUUUAGUCAUCAAAAUGUAAGUCAAGUGGGAAAACAUAAGGAAAGACAUUGUAAAUUUAUCCAAGGGUCAAAGGAAUAUUUUAAAGAAUUGAUGUAAAAAAAAAAAAAAAGAGAGAUGACUUAAUCUUAUAGAUCAAAUUAACCAUGAAUAAAAGACACUUUUUGAAAAAAAAAAAUUAUAUGUGAAAUCACUAUUUAAAAAUAAAAAGAAUUUAAAAGUAAGGAGGGGAAAAGAGAUAAUUUUAGAGGUAGCAAAUAUGUAUUUUUUGUACAUGAAUAUUUAACAAAUUUGUAUUUUUUACAUAUGAAUACUUUAUUUAAAAUCAUGGUAUUUUUCAAGUUUUUGAUAGUGCUUAUUAAGACAUGUCAAGUAUUUCAUUGGGAAGUAUAUAAAAUCUAUUCUCACUUUCUUAAAACUUUUUUUUUAAAAUCUUUAGAAAUGCUUAAUUACUUUAUAUUAGUGAAAAAAAGCUUCAUCUAUAAGGUUUAGUGUAAACUAGUUUGAACAAAAAUUUCAUUCAUUAUGGUCAUGGUUGACUUAAAGUUAGUGAAAGAAAAAGAAAAUUAUACCUUCCUAACUUUUUCUUUCACAAUGAAUCAAAGUAAUUAAGUUAAAUUAUUUAGGAUUUCAAAGGUAAUAAAAAUGAUAAUUAUAAUAUUCUAAUCAAAGAAAGAGAUUAUGUGUAUUUUUGAAACCAGAAAACCUGUUUUUUAAUUGAAACAUAUUUUCUUAUUUUUUAUUCUCAAAAACAUAAACUAGUGUAGACCCCAUUUUUGCAAACAAAAUGUAAUUAGUUUUUUUUAUUUGCUUUUAUUAAGGAAUUGGAGAGCUUUCCAUUGGAAGUGGGGGACAUCUCCCAUGAAGCUCCAUGCAUGGACGUGUGGCGGACAUCAGCAGCUUGCCUAUGGUGGUGGUUGAUGAGAGAGACAUCUCUGAGCAGGAGAUGAUGGAUGGAGACUUGUUAAACCAGGAAUAGUGGAGCGGGUAGGAGAAGAUGGUACCAACUUGGAAGGAAAACGAGCUGGUGAAAAGGGGGUCCAGGAAAGGCUUUCAGGGGAGGUUCUUUUGGGUGAGAUCUGGAAGGAACGAGGAGGAAAAAAGACUUUUGGCUAAGUCGAAGGAAGCUAGGAGAAGAAGGGAAGCGGAAGUCAAACAAACUAUUGUUAGAGGAGAGCAUUACCUGGUAAGAUUGAUCAGGUUUAUGGAUUAUUAAUGAUCAUCACAUUCUCUUAUUACUUCUUCAUGUGAUUAUUUUGCAUUGCUCGUGAGGUCACAUUGGUUGGUCAUGGUGGUUAGUUUCUGUUUCUCUGACUCCAUUUUGGAAUAAUCUAAUUGUGCUUUGUUUGGUCAUUUCAUAUUUAAAAAAAAAAAAACCUUCUUUCAUCCUGGUUUUUUUUUUUUUUUUUUUUCUCUCUUAAGAUAUUUUCCUGGUUCAAUCUGCCGACCUUUAAAUCCAAAUAUAAAGAAAAAUGAAUCUGGUCUCUUCAUAUUUAUUGGGUGUUUGGUCUAUGUUCAUUCUCUUUCAAAGCUCCAUUUAAUUGUAUCCUCUGUUUCUCUCUAUUCUGUACGCGGGUGUUCCAAUCCGGGUCUCUAUUUUGGCUUUCGUACUUGAGUUUCUUUCUAUGAAUGGAAACCGAGAAAUAUAGAUUGGCUUCUUGUAACUGAUAAAACAACUGGAGUCCACUAUCAACUUAAAGGAAGCAAGGGUGUUAAUCGGGUUGGGAUCAUGGAUGCUCUGUUUUUUUGGAACCUUUAGCUCUCUGCUCCUAGUCUUCCAAUCUUCUCUUAGUUUCAUUAUUUUUUAAGAUAAUGACUGGCAAUGCCUGUUGCUUAUUUUAUAGUUUUAGUGGUUUGCUUGUUUGUUUUUGGCUGUCAUCGAUACUAGCAAUGGAAAAGAGAAUAGUAUUGGUUUUGUUUCUUACGAAUUUGGAGGAGAUCAAAAGGGUCAAGUGAGGAGGAGGUAGGCGGUGAGGAAAACUUUAGAUGAAUGGUAUGAGGUGAUAUAUCUUGUAAGACUUGGACCUGCUCCUACAGGUUUCUUGUAUGAUUGGGGAACCUUGUCAUCAAUACCCGUCUAAGCGAGCCAGAGAUAGAAAUUUCUUGUUGGAUAAAUCUGGAGAAUGGCGAUUAGACUGAACAUACCAGGCACGGGUCCAAAACUUAAGUCGGAUGAUUCUUAGGAUGAAGGUUAAGCUCUCAUUUCUGGCGGAUCAUCCGUCCUUGUACGUCAUCAUGACAGCCAAAGUUACCGCAGUUCCCAUUAUAGAAGAUUCAUUUCUGUUGGGUUGCAAUCAUUCUCAUUUUUUUUUAUGGGCAGGAUGCAUUUGAACCUUGCCCGAGAUGGAGAAAUUUACUUGCCCCACUAGCAGCCCAUACCCCUCAUCAUUCAUGUCCUACACUAUUAAUACCAUCAUACCCAUUUUAUCUAUCUCCUGUACAUAUAAAUUCCUUAAAUGAUUCAUUUCAAUGUUAAAAGCAAAACCAACAAACUUUAAUUUACCAUGUACAGUAACCACAUGCCAUUUUUCUUUUGUUUUUUUAAACUUUUAAUGUUAAAAGUUUUGUUCUUUAUUUAUUUUAUUUAUUCUUUUUUUAUAUCCUCAAAUAACUCUUUAAAAUUUCCUAAAAUUCCAAAGUUCCGAAUUUAUUUAUUUAUUUAUUUUUUAAAAAUACCAUUUUCGAAAUAAUUUUUUUAAAAUUUGAUUUUAAAUUUAGUUUGCAAACUUUAAUUCUCGAAAUUCACUUUUCCAAAACUCCAUUUUUUAAAUUUAAUUCUUCAAAAUACAAUUCUCGAAAUAAUUUUUUAAAAUUCUAAUUUUAAGUUUAACUUCCUAGGAUUCAAAUUUUUAAAUUUAAUUUUCCAAAAACCCCACAAUUCCAAAUUUAAUUUUUAAAAUGUCACCUUCAAAUAAAUUUUCGAAACUCCAAUUCCUUUCAAAUCAAAGUUUCAAAAGUUCUAUCCUCAAAUAAUUCUUCAAAAUUCCCUUUUCUUAAAUUUAAUUUUCAAAUAAUUCUUCAAAAUUCCUUUUCUUAGAUUUAAUCUUCAAAUUUCCAUUUUCAAAUUAUUUUAUUUUAUUCGAAAAUUUCAUCUUCAUUGAAUUUCCAAAAUCUCAAUUCUCACUUUUUUUUAAUCAUUAUUAUUUUCGUUAUUAUUUAUUUAUUUAUUUAUUUAGUUAUUUAUUUUAAAAUCCCUUCUUUAAACAAUUUUUCAAAAUUCUGACUUCCAAAUUUUUUCACGUUCAUUUACUUGAUUAUUAUUUUUGUUAUUAUUAUUAAUCUAUUUUAUUUAUUUAUUUAUUUUAAAAUUCCAUCUUUAAACAAUUUUUCAAAAUUCCGACUUUCGAAUUUAAUUUCCAAUUUCCAAAAUUCCAAUUUUUACAUUUAUUUAUUUAUUUAUUUAUUAUCAUCAUCAUCAUUAUCAUUAAAUAAUUCUUCAAAAUUCUGAUUUUCAAAUUUAAUUCUCAAUUUCCAAAAUUCCAAAAUUCCAAUUUUCAAAUUUAAUUUCCAAUUUCCAAAAUUCCAAUUUUCACAUUUAUUUAUUUAUUUAUUUAUUUAUUAUUAUUAUUAUCAUCAAAUAAUUUUUCAAAAUUCUGAUUUCCAAAUUUAACUCUCAAUUUUUGAAUUCCAAUUUUCCAAUUUCCAAAUUUAAUUUCCAAUUUCCAAAAUUUUAAUUUCCAAAAUUCCAAUUUUCAUAUUUAUUUAUUUAUUUAUUAUUAUUAUUAUUAUUAUUAUUAUCAUCAUCAUCAUCAUUUUAUUUAUUAAUUUUUAAAACUCCAAACUUUCAAAUAAUUUGCUAAUUUCUUUCAAAUUUAAUUUCCAAAGUUCCAAUUCCUUAAUUUAAUUUUCAAAACUCUAAUUCUCAAAUAAUUUUAAAAAUUCCAAUUUCUUUCAAAUUUAACUUCCGAAAUUCCAAUCCUUAAAUUUAACUCCUAAGACGUCGAUUUUCAAGUAAUCUUCGAGACUCCAAUUUUCAAAUAAAUCUCAAAAAUCCAGUUUUCUCUCAAAUAGUUUUAAUUCCACUCUGGUUUUCAAAUAAUCUUUCAUUUUCUUUGAUUUUUUUAAUAAGUAUGAAUGAAUAUUUCAUAAUUCGAAAUUAAUGGAAUUUGUGAUAUUAAUUCAUGCAAAAUAAAUUGGGUUUUGGUGGGGGCCCUACAUAUGAGUUUUCUUUUCUGAUUAUCAGUUGUUAUGCUUAAUGAGUAUUACUUGAUCUUUGUUUUGCUCUUUUAUAUACAUGUGAUGAUUUUAUACUUGACCUAACCUUGUUUUCAUGAUAGCGCACUAUUAAUUGCUGCUAAGGUAUGAUCUCAUUUCCACUUCGCUUAUUCUGAUGCAUGAUUCACUUUAUUAUUUUAUUAUUUCACUGGUAUUAAUUGAUUUUCUCACCAAUUGCCACAUCUGUCUCACCUUAUUUAGUAGAGACCCGUUUUUUAGGGACUUAAAGGGGUGCUAUGGUCUUUACCGUACCUUCCCGAUAAAUAACCUGACCCCCAAACCCGUAUUUGGUUUCUCACAGAUUGUCUUUUCCAAAUGAGGAGUCACACUUAGAGUUUUCUCUCUUAUUUUGUUUGUCCUUUAAAAAUAAAACAAAAAUAAGUGGCGAAUCCAAGUCAUUUUUCAAAUUAAAAGGGAGUUCGCCAACGAGUGGAAGUGCAUGAGCCGAAAUGCGGGGUCCACAACUAGUCUUUAUAAACGUUAACAAACAAACCCUUAAUAUUUUUAAAACUAAAGUUUAUUCUUUUAUUUAAGAAUUAUUUUAUCCUUUAAAUAUCUAUUAUUAUCAAAAUUCUGUUUUCUUGCUUAUUUUAAAUUUUAAAGUUCAAACUUUAAAAAUAUUUCAAGCUCUUAAAAAUACUUUUGUUUUACAAAACAUUAAAAAACAAAUUUCAAAACCCAUUUUUAAAAACUAUUUUUUAAAACUACUUUAAAAAAUAAUUAUCAAACAAGCUUUUAACUUUACUUAUUUCAUUUUCUCAAAAGCCCAAUAAUUAUACAACCCUUAAAAGUCAUAUAUAAUUUCUUAUUUGAAAAAGAUAAGUUUAUGAAUUAAAAACAAAUUCAAAUGUCAGAUUACCUAUUAUGAAGGUACGAGGAUAAGUCGUAGUAUCCUUCUAAAUUCGUAAAUCUAUCAUCUCUAAUAUAAAAGCAAAAAAAACUCACAUUCAAUUAAUUAAUCAAUCAAUACAAAAAUAAAUAAGACUUAAUAUAAAAGAAUAGACAACCAUGCUAUAAAGAUAGAUUAUAAAAUCUAGAAGACAGUGAAUAUGAGAACUACACGAGUUGAUUCAUUAAAUUAAUUAAAAAAUGAUUGAAUUAUUUCUAAAAGAUUACAACAAAUCUUCAAAAUAUUUCAAAAGACUUUAUUUGCAACAGAAAAAAAAAUGAUUCUAGAUGAUUUCUAUUUAAUUUAUUUUAUUUACAAAGAAUGCUUCAAUUUAUAAAAGAAAAAAAAAUGAUAUGAUUUAUUUUUAUUUACAAAAAAUUUGUCAACAUAUUUUUAUUUAUGGGCUAAUGUUUUUUUAACUUAUUUUUAUUAAAAGAAAUGAUUUUUACAAUCCAAUUUGAUUUUAUUUACAAGAAAAUAAUUUUUACAACUCUUAUUUGAAAAAUUAUUUUUACAAUUCUAAUUAAAAAAAGUUUGAUUUCAUUUGGGAAAAAAAAGUUUUAGGAUUCAAUUUUAUUAAGAAAAAUGAUUUUUACAUUUUUAUUAAGUAUUGAAAUCAAUUUUUAUUAAAAGAAAUGGUUCCGGUUUAAUUUAUAUUUACAAAAGCUCAGCCAAUAUUUCUUUAAGCUCUCUCAUUGUAAUAUUUAUCUGUUUGUUUUCUUGUAGCAUAUUUCAUGGAAGCUUUAUUGGGUUAAUUUCUUCGUCUUUGCAUGGAAAUCCAUAUUUUUAAUUAAUAAGCUCACUGAAUUUGUAAUACCCAUAUUUUUAAUGACACAUAUCCAAAAAGUUUUCAUUAAAUUAUUGGUAAAAUAGUCGCAAGGGAGAUGAAAAUUCAAGUGUUAAUAUUUAAUUAGAAUAAAUUUUAAAAAAUCAGUUGAAAGUCAAUAAUUUGAAAUUUUUUACCACAUUAAAUUUAAAGAGUGAAUUUCAAGAAUUAGAAUUAAAUUUGAAAAAAAUUUAAUAAGGACUUGUAUUUUAGGUAUAAGGAUAUAUAUAUAUACAUACAGAGGGACUGGACACCAAAAGUGGUGCGAAAGCCACUGCCAGGAAAGAGGAGAAAAAAAACAGAGAGAACAAGAGAAAUGGAGAUGCAGUGGAGGGCCGUGGGUUCUCCAUGACGGAAAGCCUGCAUUUUGAGCCACCAAACCUGCUCCGAUCUGUAUCAAAUUUUGCGAGGGAGUUCAAUUCGUCGAGGUGAACAUCGCUACCGAGGGAGGAGACAGUGGAGCUGAAGCUGAGCUACCAUCUCCAUGGGGAUAUGGGAGAGAUUGUGUGUUCAAGUCUCAUCUAAUGAAAUUUUUUUUAUCCAUGUAAAAAAAGGUAAUAGAAUC
rnacentral:lncRNA from 1 species